rnacentral:lncRNA from 1 species
CAAAUUGCAAUUAUCUUAUAAUUACAAUUCCAUUCCCUUAAGUUUAAUUAAUCUCUUUUAGUCACAAAACUAAUUACCAAUUAAUUCUUGACUAAUAUUAAUUAAACAAUAUGAUUUCUCCUUUAAUAUAUUAUUCUCAUAAUAUAUUAAUAAAUCAUAUUUAAUCCUUUCUCUCCAUAAUUCAUCCUAUCAAGUUGCUUUGGUGAAGGCAACCCAAAAAGACCAUGCACCAUCGGGUCAAGUACAUACCAAAAUAGUUAUGGACUUAGACACUAAUCCAACAGGAUGGUGGCGGCCGGUGGGAGACAUAAGGGUGGAGAGAUGGCGGCUGUAGCUUUAAUUAGGGUUAGGGUUUGAAGCGGGAGGGAUGAUGGGUUAUAUACCCCAAUCAACUAAACUUACUUCCAUAAUGACAAGUUUAGCCCCUCCCUCCAGAAAUCAUUUCGAAAUAAAUCCCAUAUUUACCAUUUAAACCCCUUAUUCAGAAAACCCUUACAAAUUAAGUCUGAAAUUUACCUUUUUAACCCCAGCCAUCAAAAAACCCCUGUCUUCUAACAAUCUUCACAAAAUGAUUCCCGGAACUUACACUUUUAACCCUCGAAUAAUCCAACUUAUAACAUUUGGCUCUCCAAAACCAACACCUUACUAAUUAUUAUGGAUUUCAGGGCUACUUAUUCAUUCAUAAUUUGUUUAUUUAUAUAUUUAAUAAAUGGGGUGUCACAAAAUACACGUCUAUUGUAUCGAAAAUGCAACAACAUAUCUUUCCAACAAAAAUCAUAUGUGAUUAAAAACACAUAAACACAUGUGAUUAAGUAUACGAGAACAACGUUUAAACCAAGAACGUGAAAGUACAUAUUGUCCACAUAAAUCAUAUGUGCGUGUAUAUAUAUAUAUAUAUAUAUAUACCAUAAGUGUGUUAGGUAUUAUCAACCAUUUAUCUUCUCAACAAUUUUACUUUGAAUUUUAUUAUAUAAUAUUAUCUGUUUAUCCUAACAUAAAAUAGAACUAAUCUAGUUCGUACAUAGCACGUUAUANACACACACACAUAUAAAUAUAUAUAUAUAUAUAUAUAUUCACAUGUGAUUAUAUGUAUUUAAUAACAUGUUAUUUAUGUGAUUAAAUACAUAUAACCACACAUAAAUUAUUUCAUUAUAUGCAUUUAAUCAAAAAUGGUGUUGGUGGUUUUCGGUAGUAGGUGGUGGAAAUGGUCGGUGGUGCUUGGUUGUGGAGGAGGUAAGGAGGGUAGAGGGGGUGACGGGUGGUUAUAUGUAUAUAAUCACAUAUGAUUUCUGUGGACAAGAUUCAUUUUCGUUUUCUUCAUUUAGUAGCUGUUCUUUAGCAACUUUAAUCAUAUGUUAUUAAAUACAUUUAGUCACAUGUGGUUAUAUGUAUCUAAACACAUACAAUUUAUAUGGACAAAAUCGAAUAUCGUCCAUAUAAAUAAUAUGUGAUUCAAUACAUAUAAUCACAAAUGAUUCGAUACAUAUAAUCACAUGUGAUUAUAUACACGAGAACAACUAUUGAAUCAAAAUUAGAAAAAACAAAUCUUUGUCCACAUUAAUCAUAUGUGAUUAAAUAUUAUAUAAUCAGAUAUGAUUAAAUACAUGAGAAAACUAUUGAAUGAAGAAUAUGAAAACAAAUAUUGUCUAUACAAAUCAUAUGUGAUUAGAUACAUGUAAUCAUAUGUGAUUAUAUGUAUUUAAUCACAUGUAAUUUAUGUGACUAAAUACAUAUAAUCACAUAUGAUUUAUGUGAUUAUAAAAUUUUAAUCACAUAUGGUCAUCAUGGUUGUAGUAGUUGGUGGUGGAGAAAGGGAUGUAUAGUAGUAGUGGUGGGUGGUGGGUGAUGAGGGUCAUAGGUGAUAAGUGGUUGGGUGGUGGUGGUUUGUGAAUGAUGGUAAGUAGUAGUGGUGGGUGAUGGUUGUACGGUUGGUGGGCAGUGGUUGGUGGUGUUGUUGAUGGGUAGGUGAUGGCGAUGGUGGUGAUGGUAGUGGCGGUGUGUGGUGAUGGUUGGUAGUGAUGGUGGUUGGUGAUGGUGAUGGUGGUGGUGGGUGGUGGUUGGUCGUGACAAAUGGUCGUUUUUGUAGGUGGUGGAUGUAUGGGGGUGGCGGGUGGUGGUGAUAGGUAGUGGAGGCGGGAUGAUGGUGAUGGGUGGUGGUGGUUAAUGGUGAUGGGUGUGGGUGGUGGUGGUGGGUGAUGGUGAUGGGUGGUGGAGGUGAGUGGUAGUGAUGGAUGGUGGUGGUGGUUUUGGUGAGUGGAUGUGGUAAUGAUGGAUAAGUUGUGGUUGGUAAUGGUGUCGGGUGGUGGUUGGUGAUGGUGACGGGUGGUGGUGGUGGGUGAUGGAGGUGGGUGGUGAUGGUGGGUGGUGGUAGGUGGUGAUGGUGGUGACGGAUGAUGGUUUUGGUGGGUGGGUAUGAUGGAGGCGGAUAGUGAUGGGUGGUGGUAGUGGGUGUGGUGGUGGGGGUGGUUAUUGGUGGUGAGUGGUAGGUAGUCGUGGUGGGUGGUGUUGGUUGGGUAGUGAGUGAUGUUGCUUAGUGGGUUUUUUAUUGUUUGUAACUAUUUUUGAUUUAUAUGAAUAUUAUUUUAUAAUUUCAAUUAAAAAAAAUUAUGUGGUCCAAAUUUGUUCUCAAAUUUUCUCGCAAUAAGAAAUGUUUUCNNNNNNNNNNNNNNNNNNNNUAUAUAUAAGUAUAUUAUAUAUUUCCAUAUUCUAAUAAAAGAAUAAGUUUAUUCUCUUUUUAUCAUGUGUCAUACUAUUAGGCAUUCACAUGUCAAUGCAUUCAUUCUCCAUCUCAAAUUUCAAAUUUUAAAAUUUUGCACUCUAAUUACGUUAAAUUAACAACAUUAGAAUAAAAAAAUUAAAAUAAAUUAAUACAAAUUAUAAGGUGAUAUAAUUUCAUGUACUUAUUUAAAUCAAUUAUUAUAAUUUUGUAUAACUAAAACAAUAUCUCUUAAUUAAUAAUUUAUUUAAAAUAAUUGCUUAAUAAUUUCGAGUUUUACUAUGAAAUUUUAAUUAAUUUUGUAACCGUUGUUCUCACGGGUUAUAAACUCGUAUAUAAUAAUUCUCCGCUUCAAUAUUUGCGAAACUUAUAGAGUUAAUGAUGUGCUAGUUCAUAAAAUAUUUUAGCCGUUUUUUGCUCAUUCAAAAUCGGGAAAUGGAAAAGCUCAACUUCGUCAACAAUGGUGGUCUGUAAUUACCUUUAGGGUUUCGAUUAUUCCUAAUUUAUUAAGAGCUUGUUUAACUCUUCUCUAAUGGCAAGGUGCAAUCACACCUUGUGGCUUCCCCGUCAAAACUGAAUUUGAUGUUUGUGGGUUGAUCCAUAGGAUUAAACAAGUUUGUGACUGUUUUUCAUGCUAUUAUCUGUUAAAUUCUAUCAAACAAGUGUAAUGUAAAGUGAGUUUUGUUGAUGCCCAAAAACCGUUUGUAGAUGAAAUAGUAAGACAUUGGUGUGGGUAUGGGCACAACCAUUGAGGGAUGUUGUGCUGCCAUAUCAUCUUCUUCUUGAAGGAAACAACGUAUGACAAGGAGGAAGAAAUAGAGAAACAUGUUGAGGUGAAGAAAAUAGAAGAAGAAAAGGAGAAGGAUAGCCUAAACAUGCGUGGUGGUGGUAACGGGAAGCAACGAAAAACAUAAGGGGCGGUGUAGCCGCUGUGGUAACGCCGUUACCGGCCGGCUACGUCGACAAAAACGCCCAUGGCGUUGUUCACACUUUAUACUCGAAAAACUAGGUCGGUUAGAUAAAAACGACUUGAACCAGAUCAAACCACUUUUCAAAAAACAUAUUUCACAGGCCCUAGUUAUAAAAACCAAAAAGAUCCACUUUUUUAUUUCUUCAAAUAAUGGACGUGGGACUAUGACCACUCUUGAUAAUUGCACCAAAAUGAUGAUAGUAACCCAUGUCUUUUUCAUUCCUAAAAAAACACAUUUAAUUUGUUUUAAAAAAAAUAUUAUUUUUUUAUUCUUAUUCAUAUUGUGAUUAUAUGAUUGUAUCAAAUCUAAAGUAAAAAAAAUAUAACUUUAAUUUUUAAAUAAAAAUAAUAUAUUUUUUUUGUGAAAUUAUCCUUCUUUUUUAAAGUAUGUAUCAAAUAUAUAAAUGAUUAAUGUUAGAAAGAAGAGAAAUCUGCAAAAAAAAAAAAAAAAAAAAAAAAAAAAAAAAAAAAAAAAAAACUUUAUUUUUUUUNNNNNNNNNNNNNAAAAAAAAAAAAAAAAAAAAAAAAAAAAAAAAAAACCUUGAAUUUGGUUCUAUUAAUAUAAAAGUCUUUCCUGAUUUUUUUUUGCAAUUAAUCUCAAAAAAACUAGUAAACACUUGCAAAAUAACUCUUGUAUCCGGUUAAUGCUGGUUUCCAAUGCCAAAUUGUAAAUAAACAACAAGAUAUGAAUUUUUUGUUAAUAAGGUUAAAGUUUAAAGACUUUUCUGGAGAUUUUUCUUUUUAUAUAUAAUAAAUAAUUUGAAGAAAACUCAUUUUAUUUAUUAAAAAACUCAAAUAAGGAAACAAUCUACAUCAUUUUCACUAAAAAGUUCAUUUUUAUUCAUUAAAAAACACAAUAAUGAUAAUUUAUUUAUCAUUUUUGAGUUUUUUUUUAUUCUCUUCAAUAAAUAUCAUAACUAAUAUUAUAAAUUCCUUGCAACUAUUUAACACUGUGAGCAUUUAAGUUAUAUGUUGUAGAGCAACUUGAACUUAAUUUGGUCACUUUUAAAAAAAUAUAAUUUUUUUUUGUCUACUAAGAAUUAUUACAAGGUCUAAAUGUUAGGAAUCCACUUGUUUUUUACACCUAAGCCCUAAAUAGUCAAACAAUGAAAGUGGCAUGUGGCCUAUAAAUGCGCUCCAUACGACUAAUCAACAAAGUCCUCUUAAAUUAUAUAUGAUGACUACAAUCAUAAAGAUAUAAUUUAAGAGGACUUUGUUGAUUUAUUGUAUGAAGCGUGUUUCUAGACCACAUGCUCUCUUUAUUGUUGAAUUUUCAGGUCUUGGGUGUAAAAAUGGUGACUUAUGUGUAUAGAAUGGCAAUCAAGGGAGUUUUCAUUUUUUUAAAGUGAUCAAAUUAGGUUCAAGUUGCUCUACAAUAGUUAUAAAAAUACAUGCUAAAUACAAUUAAUAGAACUUUUGUUGAUUUGUUGUAAGAAGUGUGUUUCUAAGUCACAUUUUGUGUAUAAUAAAACUCUAUUUGGGAAUAAUAGCCUCUGCUAAGCCUUUAUUUUUUGAGGUGUCAUUCGAUUGUGAGAGACUCUUUGGUAAACUGCAGUUUUAUGGUAAAAGUUUUACAUCCAAGACCUGAAAAUUUAAUAAUGAAGUAGCAUGUGGUUUAGGAUAUAGAUGGUUAUCUUUAUAAUUUUAGUUAUGAUAUUUAUUGAAAAGAAUCACAAAAACAAAUCCAAAAACGGUAUACAAAUUAUCGGCAUUGUGUUUUUUAAUAAAUAAAUAUGAGUUUUCUUCAAAUUAAUUUAGUAUAUAUAUAAAAANAAACUUUAACUCUUUUAAAGAAAAAGUCAAUCACUGUUUAUUUACAAUUUGUCCCUGAAAACCAGCAUUAACAUGGAAUAUGAGUUAUUUUACAAGUAUUUACUUUGUUUUUUAGGCUUAAUUGUAAAAAGAACAAAAAAAUAAUAAUAAAAUAUUCAAGGAUGACUUUUGUGUUAAUUAAGUCAUACUUUAGGGCUUUUUUCCCUAGAAAGAAAGGUGUCUAGCAAGAUAGAAAACAAGUUGAAAAAGAUACAUGUAUAUAUUGUCAUUAUCAUUUUUUAUGAUAUACAGAAUUUAAAAAUUGCAUCCAAACCAUGAUAGUAACCCAUGUCUUUUUUUCAUUCCUAAAAAAACACAUUUAACCUGUUUUAAACAAAAAUUAUUUUUUAUUCUUGAGCAAAUAUAUGAUUAUAUCCCAUCUAAACUAAUCAUAUUUUGAUAUCAAACCUAAAGUAAUCAUAUUUUGAUUUUAAUUUAUAAAUAGCAUUAAUCUAAAAUAUUUGAUUUUGUGAAAUUAUUUGUUUUCUGGAAGUAUUUAUCGAAUUUUAAAAUGAUUAAUGUUAGAGAGGAGGAGUCAUGCGGGAUAGACGAUUGAUGAAAGUAGGGGUGAACAUUUGGAUCGGUGAACCGGACCGGACCAGACCAUACCGUUUUUUUGGACCCCUGGGUCGGUUCUCGGUUUUAGGAUUUCAGCAAAACCGGUUCGGUUUUUUUACUGGUCCAGUUUGGCCAGUUCCAGGUAAAAACUAGUUUUGAACUAGCUUAUUUUUUGAAAAAAAUUGUAUUUUAUAAAAUUAUUUAAACAAGCAUAUCUCAUUCGUUUUAUAUCUGAUUGACAUGAAGUUUUUUCUAACGUGUAAUUUAGAGUUUGUAGAUAAUUUUAGACUAUAAUUUUGUUGUUUUUGGUGUUAUAUUUGAUGAGUUAUAAUACUUCAAAUAUGAGAUAUCAAAGCUGAAAUAUUUUAGGAAUUAUGUGAAACUCUUUAAAUAAGCAUACCUCAUUUGUUUUUAAGUCGGAUUAACAUGUGGUUUUUUCUAACGUGUAAUUUAGAGUUUGUAGAUGAUAUUAGACUAUAAUUUUGUUGUUUUUGGUAUUAUAUUCGAUGAGUUACAAUAUUUCAAAGACGAGGACUCAAAACUGAAAUAUUUCAACUUUUCAGCAAGAAAUUUAAAUUUUUCAGUUUUUCAACAAUUAUAUCUCAUUCGUUUGAAGUCGUAUUGAUAUGCAGUCUUUUCUAAUGUGUAAUUUAGAGUUUGCAGAUGAUUUUAGACUAUAAUUUUGUUGUUUUUGGUGUUAUAUUCAAUGAGUUACAAUCCUUCAAAUAUGAGAUAUCAAAGCUGGAGUAUUUUAGCUUUUCAACAAGAAAUUUAAAUAUUUUCAUUCUAUGAAAAUUUUUAAACAAACAUAUCUCAUUCAUUUUAAGUUGGAUUGAGAUUUGUUUUUUCCAACAUGUAAUUUAGAGUUUGUAGAUAAUUUUAUACUAUAACUUUUUUGUCUUUGAUGUUAUAUUCAAUGAGUUACAAUCCUUCAAGCAAAUGGUAUAAAAUAUAAAUAAUCAAAGUUUGACCGGUCCAAAGGACAAAAUAAACGAAAACGUAUUCCUUUUUACGAGUUAUAUCGUAUCAAACCCAAAAAAGUAUUCAUUUUAACGAGUUAUAACGUAUCAAACCAAACAAUAUAUUCGUUUUAACGAGUUGUAUCAAACCCAAAAACGCAUUUUUACAAGUUGUACCAUAUGCUUAUAAAAUUGUACUGAUCCAAAUGGGUCCAAGAACCGGAAAACCCGAACCUGGACUCGGACAUGGACCUGGACCCGGUAAGUCUCAUCCGGUCCGGUCCACGGUCCAUAAUAUGAUCCAAAACCGGUCCGGUCCAAGAGUCGGUCCGGUUCAAAUGCUCACCCUAGAUAAAGGUACCAACAUAUCACAUAUUUUCAUUAUUAUUUUCGUGCUUUUAAAAAUCAUAUGCAUUUCACUAUAAAAGAAUAAUAUAUUCUUUGUUUCAUGAAAAUUUGUAUUCUCAUUUCCAUGAUUACAUUCCAGCCCUAUUGAGCAACCAAACCUAAUCGGACACAAAGAUAUUUAAAUGGGACAACAUUAAAAGGAAGAUAUAUUAAAUGAGACAACAUUAAAAUGAACAUUGAUACUGUUUUUUUAUUAGGGCAUUAUAUUUUGAAAAAUUAUCCAAUUAUAGCAAUGAAAAAUCCUUCUUGUUUUUUAUGACAUUGCUAUAAUAGAUUUUUCAAAAACAUAAUGCUUCAAUAGGAACAAAAGGAAGUAAGAUGCUAUAAAAAACAUGAAAGUACGUUGUUAUUUCAUGUUUUCUUUCUUAUUAAAGAAACGAAAGAAGAAAAUUGUGCACCUCAUACUCUCGGUUUUUCUUUUCUUUCUACUUAUGCUCUUCAGCUCCUUCAUCACUCAUGACCUUCCUUUUAGAACCAUGUUCGAAUCAUAUCAUGUGCAUUUGUUUAUUAUAAUAUCCUACUUCAGUUUUUUCAAAUACAACAUAGUAUUCUUUUUCUUAUUAAGGCAUUAUACUUUGAAAGUAAUUGCAAUUGUUAGAGAUUAUACCCCAAAUAUUUGAUAUUGCUACCAAUAAGUACUAACUUACAGGUAACUCAUCGACAACAAGAAAGUUGUCCAAGUAAUUUACAAAAAGACAUUCACAUAAUGGUCCAAAGUUGAAUUGAGCAUGAAUCCGAGUCAAGAUAAGUCAAAAUAUACAACAUCAAGAUUCAAGGAUACCAAAAUCGAUUAAAAAAAAAUGGUAUUUCUUUUUAGAAAAAACAAAUAAGCAAGAAAAAAUCAAACCUAAAUUAACAAAAAAAAAAUCUUGAAAAAGGAUCAACCAAACCUUUGAAAUCCAAUCAACAACCUCUUUUCUUGCAACAAAAUAUAGGUUUUGAUUCUUCAAAAUAUUCAAAUAAUCAACAACACCCACACAUUGUUCAAUUUCUUUCACAAUCAACAAAGCCAAACACUCGUAAUUUUUGCACAGGCAAAUCAGGAACAAAGUACUUUACUCUAUUUUAGGAUUCUUAAUCAAACUUCGUUCAAUUCUUCAUUUCGAUUAUUGUUCCAACAAAAAACAAGAGUAAUAAUUUAUCAAAUGUUACAAUCUUUUUUUUGAAUUGUAUGAAUACAAUUGGUAAUAUAUAAGCUUAGUUAUCACAGUACAACGAGUGAGAAGACAAACGGGCAACAAACUGUGCCGUUAAGUGUUUUUUUAUGAUAAAUCCAGUUCUUUUAAAGACAACAACCAUAGAUCUAGGAGAUAUAACAUUGUUAUGCAUUGUUAUGCAUGAACCGUUACAAUUAAUAUGAAUAUAGAGCAAAAGAAAUUGUUCUUAGAAUAAAGUUUAAAACUUACAAUCCAUCAUUGAAUACACAAAACAUAAUCACAUUGCAAGUUCAUUCCAUUCCUAGAAGAAUUGAUAACAAAGAAAGCAAAAUCAGAUGCAGUCAGAGUUUCAUUUUAUUGCAUAAAGUGGGAACAAUUAAGAUAAAUACAAAAUAAAACUUAUGGAACAGAGUGAGUAAUUCGUAAAGUAUGUUUAUAGUGAUAUUAACAGCUGCCUCAAAUGCAACAAGGACAAAAAGGAAAUAUUAGAGUUACAUCUAUGCUUUUAUGUUUAGAAACCUACUCCCUAUUUACUCAUCGAACAACUGAGUAAUUUCAUGAUAUUAGUAGCAUAUUGAACUAAGAAAGAUUUGCAGUAGAGUUAUUAUGCUAAACCUUAAAUUGAGUUGGAAAUUGACUGUGAACCAGAAAGUGUUUCACAUAGAUAGAGAGGAGACGAGAAAAGAAAGUAACGAUGUAGGAGAUGCCCAUGGCGUUGUCGAUGGAGAAGUGCAGCAAUCGAUUGCAGUGGAUUGAAUACGUUUAUGUGAAAUGUACCGUUUACCCUGCACAAAAUAGGUCCUUAUUAAAGUUUAUGUGUUGCAGUAAAUUUUACAAAAUAGGUCCGUGUCCAGAAUUCUUUUUAACAUAAAUGGUCCAUAAACAAUUAUAAAAUAGCCCAUGUGACACAAGAAGGCCAAUUACGUUGUUUUCUUAUUUGAUGGAUAAAAAAAAGUUAAAUGAAGGUGGCAGGGGCGGAAUCGUCUUUUGAAGGUAAUUUGGUUUUAGGGUGUUUGCAAGGGUGGUUUUUCCUAGGUGCCACACUGGCAACACCUAUUUCUCGCGUACGCAGUGAAACAAAUUUUAAUUUCCGUUCUUUUUUACAAAUUUUUCUUUCACCGACUACAUCUAUUUCAGUCUCGGCAACACCUAGUAUGUAUUCCCGCGUCCGCCCUUUAGUGUUUGUUGUGCCGACUCAAAUGACCUUGAGGAAUGCAUACUGAUAUUUUUCGAAAAAAAGGUUUAUCCUUUUUCAAGUAUUCAAUUGUGAAAUGGUAACUUCUUGAAGAAAAACAUCUGUAUAAAAAUAAAAAGAAUGUGAAAAAAAAGAAAGAAAUUGUUAUGUGUUUAAGGAAAUCUCCAUUAAAGUUUUAUUAUUUUACUAUAAUUUACGAAUAAAUCUCACACGAAAUUUUGUUUGCGGAAAAAGUGACGAUUUGACCAUUUUUAUGAGUUUAUCAGUUUCAUACAUGGAUGCUUAGUCAUUAAAUGAACUGCAAAAAUCUUCAUUUAAGUCUCAUUAUUUUACCUUAAUUUACAAGUAAGUCUCAAACUAAAUUUUGUUUACGAUUUAGUCAUGUUCUCCUUGUAACAUACAUUUUACAGAUUUCAUGGUUGACCUGGAUGCAUAGUUAUUAAAUAAGUUGAUGCCUAGUUAUUUAAUAAGCUGAUAAGAUGGAUAUGUUAGGUUAUAUAAUGUUACAUUUACUGUAAAACUUGAUAUCUUGUCGCGUUAUACAUUAUUUGGGAUAUGAAAUGCAUCCAACUAAGACUAUAAUAAUUACAUAAACUAGCAACAAAUUCAUCACUUUUGAGGUUUAUAAAAACUUGCAAAUUGCCUAUCUAAUUUUACAUAAUUCAUCAUAUCCAUCUCAUCAACUCAUUUCCCGUCCUUUUUCUUGGUAACACAUAUUCUACCGAUUUCAUUGCUGACUUGCAUGCUUAGUCAUUAAAUGAAUUGAUGAGAUGGAUAUCAAAUUUUACGGUAAACAUAACAUUAUAUAAACCAUCAUAUCCAUCUCAUCAUCUCAUUUAAUGGUUUGUCCAAGUGAGCAAUGUAAGCGGUAAAAUGUGUGUUAUAAGGAGAAAAUUGGCCAAAAUGUAAACAAAUUUUAGUUUGAGAUUUAUUCGUAAAUUAGGGUAAGAUAAUAGGACUUUAAUGAAGAUUUCUCUAGCUCGUUUAAAGACUUGCAUCCACUUCAAUGAAACUGGUAAACCGGAAAAAAAUGGCCAAAUCGUCACUUUUACCGGUAAUACAUGUUUUUUCGUAAACAAAUUUUACUUUGGGACUUAUACGUAAAUUAGGGUGAAAUAAUGGGACUUUAAUGAAGAUUUCCCUAGCUCAUUUAAAGACUUGCAUCCACUUCAAUGAAACUGGUAAACCAGGGAAAAAUGGCCAAAUCGUCACUUUUGCCGGUAAUACAUGCGUUUUCUAAAACAAAUUUUACUUUGGGACUUAUUCGUAAAUUAGGGUAAAAUAAUGAAACUUUAAUGGAGAUUUUCGUGUGUAUUUAUAUUGAUUGAUUUCAAAUAGGGAGAUUGCAUUUAUGGUAAGGAAGUUUUCAUCAUUUCAAAGAGGUUUUGAGGCCAAAAUAUGAGUUUUUCUUACACAUUAUGCAAAAGCCAUUAAAAAGGUGGUUGAUUAUCCAAGAUAUUUUUGCUACUCAUUGGAGAAGAAGGUACAUACAGGAUUUUGGGUAAUCAAGGGUAGAAAUUGUGAGUGUAGCCCAAAAGACGUGUUAGGUAAGAAUGUUGAAGUGUUUGCAGCUGAUUACAUUAGUCUUCUCCCUCCUUCAUGAAUAUAGGUAAGAAUGUUGAAGUGUUUGCAGCUGAUUACAUUAGUCUACUCCCUCAUUCAUGAAUAGAAGCUUGAUCUUCUUCGUUAUGGUUUAUAAUUUUGCCAAAUUUGGCAAAACAGGGCACUCAAACUACAAAAGUCUAUGGAAAAAAAUUAAUUGUCUACUCUUGAGCACAAGUACAAUUGGUAUAUGGUAGGGUGUAGCACCAAUGAUUAAUGAUGAUUUUGCCCUUGGGAGUUAACUAAUAGCAGCAGGGUAUGUCUCUAAAAUAGGACAUGUACAGACAUAUGUGGAUAUUGAAACAAAGAGGGUGUUACUUAACUGAACUUAUACUCCAACACAUCUUGUUCCCUUAAAUAUUCAUGCUAUUUUCCAUUUCUGUUUAUUUUAGCAUUGUAAUUUAAUUUCUCUUUAUACAGUGUUGACUCAAAUGACCUUGAUGUUGACUCACAUUCGCAUGCUUCUUCUAAUUCUCUGUUUUCUUCAAAAAUAGAGUCUAGAAAAGAAUGUGGAGAUACAAAACAAUCCAACCUCUUAAACUUGGAACACCACCUAUAUACACAUACACACAUAAGAACCAAGUUUAUUUUUUGCUUGAGUUAACAUCAGGGUUUUGUUGUUAUUGACUUGCGAAGUAUGUUUUUUUUUUCAUUUACUCUUUCUACACACACAUACAAUAAAGUAAAAAUGCUAUAAUAUAAAGCGAAAAUAAUACAAAUGUCCUACAAACUUUCUAGGGUUUACCCGUUGAGUCUCUAAAGUUUUUGUCGGACUUUAUAGGUCCCUAAACUAGGAUAUGACCUGCUUUUUUAGUCCCUGUCAACCUAUAAUAACCUGUUCAGUGACAUUUUAGACAAAAAAAAAAAAAGAAAAAAAGAAAAAAAACCUCACAUUAUGCCUCUAUAAAGCCAAAAGAUAAGUUCGGGGAUCAAUUUGUACAAAAAAAGCUCCUUUUCUUCUGAAGCCGAUUCACACUCAAUUCAUAUUGAUCCCGGAACUUAUUUUUUUGGUUUUAUAGGGGCACAAUGUGAGUUUUUUCGGUCUAAAAGGUCACUAAACCGGCUAUUACAGGUUGACAGGAACUAAAAAAGUAGGUAAUAUCCUAGUUUAGGGACCCAUAAAGUCCGACAAAAACUUUAGGGACUCAAUGGGUAAACCCUAAAAGGUUCGUAGGACAUUUGUGUCAUUUUCCCUAAUAUAAAUAAUAAAUGGAAGUAGAUUGCUAUUUAUUGCAUACAACCAUAUAAUCGGUGCAAUAUACUUUUAUUUAUAUGUUUAUUAAAUCAUUGUAGUUUCAUAAAUGUGUUUCAGGUUGGACAAAAUUUAUGUUGAUACAGAUUUGGUAACCAUAAAACUUACAUCAUUCAAGUAACAAAAUCACAACAAAAGUUUCAACAUCCGAAUUUUUUAAAAGAUAUUUGAGCAAAUAUGAUAAAGUUAUCAUUUAACACAUCGACUGUUUCCUUGACUUCUCAAUCUUAGUAUCCAAUCCAUAAUGUAAAACACUAUAACGUAUUGUCAAAAAUCCAAGAAAUAGAAAAAUGAAACUAAAAACCAUUGAACAAAUAAGAUAGAGUAAUAUAUAGGCACAAUACAACAAGAUAACGGAGUAGACGUUUACAAAAGGCCAAUACACAACAAUUACAACAGAAUAUAACAUACCAACAAUCUCAAUAACGAAAAGUUUAAAACAACCAAUACACUUAUAAUUUGAACACAUGAAUAUCUCAUUUUCUAGUCAAUGAAAUGACUACGUUAAGGUGUCUGAUUUUUUUGUUUGCUAGAUCUUCGGCCACUUUCAUUGUCAACUUCUGAAAUAGCACAUCAAUAUUUAAUAAAUUUCCGAAAUGAGAUGUCAACAACGAUUCAUAAACAGUUCUCAGAGCAGUUGUGCAGUUUUUAGCAUGGAUGUGGCUCUUCUCAUCUGAAUCUUUCACAUUUGUAAAGUCUGUAUCCCUUGGAUCCCAGUUACCUUGAAAAACAUUAUAGGUAUUAAUAGAAAAUGAUCCCUCAUUGUGAACAGCUUUACUGACUUCAUCCUCGCAUGGAGUAUAAUUUGGGAUAUUGAAUGAGUGCAAAUCUGAUUCUUGAACUAGUCCCUAUAAUUUUUAAAAACAUAUAUGGUUACUUACGUACACAAAACAAAAUUUUCAAGUGAAGAACCUUAUAUAUAUAUAUAUAUAUAUAUNNNNNNNNNNNNNNNNNNNNNNNNNNNNNNNNNNNNNNNNNNNNNNNNNNNNNNNAUAUAUAUAUAUAUACCUCUUUAACCAUAUCGAGUAGUGAUUGUGAUAGUAGCUCAAGAAUACGACCACCAUUUUCAGUGGUGGUUGGAUCAACACUGCUACGACCAAGAAAUGUUAAAACCAUGCACCCACCAUGCACUACUUCCUUGGAUCGCAUUUGUAGAAACUUUAUAAAGUCGGUUUGAAAUUGCUUUUCAUAUGCUUCAAACACAUUGGGAGGACUUGGUGUCGCCAUGUAUAUAUUAUCUUUGUUGUUUUCAAUGCCUUCAGGUAUCUAUAAAAUGUCCAAGUGAUCACUAUGAAUAAUUAAUUUGAAUAAAAGAUAGUUUGAACAAUAUUUAACUAUAUGUAUAUUUUUUCACAUAUUGAUUUUGCAAAUAUGUAUAUUCAAACCUGAGAAAGCCAAUGAACAGCCCAAGAGGAGUGAACAAGGUGUACGCUUUCAUCUGGAAAGAGUCUACCAUAAAAGGAACCCGGAUUAGCUGAAACGAAACAAGAGCCAAUGUUUUCUCCCUUCUCCUUCUUAAGGUUUGCAUAAAAGUUGGGUAGCAAUUGGAAAAUGGAAUUGAAAUCAUUUCCAAAAAGAUCAUUUAAGCAGAUUUGAAAUUGUGGUGCUUUAUGAUCAUUUUCUUUACGCAGCUCAAGGACUAUAUCAAUAACCAUAGAUGCAAGCAAAAGUGUAUUUGUGCCAGGCCCGCAUCCUAUAUCUGCUAGUACGAAGCUUUUGCUGAAGGCCGCUUCAGUUUUAACCAUUCCCUUGAUUGUAUCUUGCAAAACAGUCUCACUUUUCCUUAUCACACUUUCCUGAAAAAUAAUUUGAUUCCAAUUUACAAAUUUAAAGACGCACUUGAUAUAUAUAUGAUUGUAUGUGUAUUUAAUGAGAUCGAGUACGUGUAAGAGAGACCUGAAUCAAUGAGUUGCUUGCGUAGCUUGAUUCUCCAUGGCCAACAUUCAUGCGUAGUGUCUUUUCUACUUCCAUGACUAGAUAUAUAUGUUUCCUUUGCCUUAAUUUGUUCUGAUGUUAGCGGCCUUCAUUUAUAGGCUUCCACAAGUGAUCUGUUUAUCUCAAACUCUUUUCAUUUAUCUUUAAUUAUUACUAUUUUUCGAUUAUGAUAGUUUCUAGUGAUAACCUAUGAAAUUGAAUAUUAUUUAAUUAUAUUUUACUGAAGUAUUCUAAAAUGGAAUUGACUAUUGGCAACCCAAAGACUUUUGGAUAAUGAUAUUAGUAGUUUUAUAUAUUGCUGUACAUGUGCCUAAGUUUCCAUGCAUCCGCCAAUCAGAAUUCAGGUGAUCAAGAUACUAUAAGAGAACGAGUCCAUUAAAAACUAAACGUUUUAGUUGCCAUUGUGGAACGGUCUUCCUUCAUUGUAUGAAUAGAGAUUAUAAUAUGAGGAUUUAACGUUUACCAAAAACCACAAAGACCCACUUUUUUAUUUGGUAUUGUUAUUGUUAUUUGAACGAAUAACCGAAUAAGUCGUGGUAAAAUCUUGAAUAUUUUGUUUUCAUUUGACAACCGUUGGAUUGAAUUGUGUUUUUUAUUUGACAACCAUAGGACUUUGUAGCCAUCGUAAUGUCAAUGUCUUUCAAAUUUCAACUGUAUCACAUUAAUUUUUACAACCAUCUCUAUAUCAAUCAAUGCAAUAUCAAUUCUUUUUAAAAAAAGAGCACAUCCUCACAUCAAUAAUUACUUUAUAUAUUUUAACAAAUACCUUAUCUAUUUAUAAAUAAUAAUUAUUCAAAUAUGAUUAUUUAAAAAUAAAUUUAUACAUAGAAUAUGAUUGUGAGGCUCUGAGGAGUGGUGCCAAGUGCACCAGCUCUUCCUCAGCUCCGGCUAAGAAAAGAAGAACCAAAGAAGAGAGGAAGAUAUGGUUGUCGAGUAGGGGAGUAGGAAGGAGGGAAGAAGGGAGGAAGAAGAAACAAACUCGACGAUAUUCCACCUCAGCAUGCCGAGUGGUACGGUCCAAGUAAUUGGGAGAGAAUGAAUAAAUUCCUUUUCUGGAAGGAUCAUCCUUCCUGAAUGCAACAUACAACUCUACGUUGUACUGCACUCUCCAAGUGUGCCUGUCCCCCUCUUCUUCCUUAUCAUGGCAAGUUUUUGUGAAAUAACUCCGAUAAGAAGAAAAAGAAGACGUUAAGAGACCCUCCUGGUCCAACCCUAGACACUCAGUUAAAGAUGAUAUUUGACGUAAAAUUCAAUAGGGUGUGUAAUUGUAUUUAUACAGCAACAUUACAGGGAUAAGAAGUAGAUCCUAAAUACAUGGAUCUAUAGUUACAACAAACAUUCAAAUAAUCCUAUCUCUAAGCUAAGCUAUUCGUUUGCAUUCCCCAUCAAUCUUAACCGCUACAAGGUUUAGACUGUGUCUUAGAUGCUGUAACAUUUGUUUGGUCAUCGGCUUUGUGAGUCUAUCAGCUAAUUUGUCACCAGAAGAGAUGAAUCUAACAUUAAGUGCACCCAUGACUACCUUUUCUCUUACAAAAUGGAAGCCCACCUCUAUAUGCUUCGUUUGAGCAUGAAAUAUGGGAUUUGUUGUUAGGUAAGUCGCUCCAAGAUUGUCACACCACAACAAAGGUGGUCUUGGUUAAUGAACUCCUAGUUCCUUCGGUAAUGAAUGUAUCAAUGUAGCUUCUGCAGUACCAUUGACAAGUGCCUUAUAUGCAGCUUCGGUACUAGAUCUAGCAACUGUUGGUUGUUUGCGAGAACUCCAUGAUAUUAAGUUUGGACCAAGAAAUAUUGCAUAACCACAUGUGGAUCAUUGAUAAUCUAUACAUCUUGCCAGAGAUAGAAAAACCUAAGUACGAGACAAAAAAACACAUAACACUACAAAGUUGCAAACAUAAAAAACACAUGAUGCUAAAAAUCUUGAAAAAAAAACAAAAACAUGUAUUUAGAAUGUAACAUGACAAAAAAUCCAAUAUUACAGGAAAGUAUAUGAAAUGAACUAAAUUAACAUGUAUUUAGAUUAUCCAAAUUAUUUUGAACAAUGUUUCUUCAAAAAUAUACUUAUUGUUGUUUCAUACCUACAUAGAAAGUUUAAUGAAAUUUUUUUUAAUUGUAAUUAUGCAAUUUGAUUCUAACAUAUAAGAACGACCACAUAGAAAAUUUAGGAAUCAAAUGAAAAUUUUGUCUAUAAUACCGUAAAUCUUAUAUUUAAGGAAAUAAGAUCAUUCUUAAUUUAGAUUCUAAAUUGUUAGCCUACUUUUGAUGUAGUUCAGGUAGUAAUAUGUAGGCAAGAAUGUUGAUAUUAUGUGUUGUAUAUUAUUGUUAUUGAUAAAAAACUAAGUUGUAGUUUAAAUUAAAAGUUCUUUUUUCAUGGUAAGCAUGUUGCUAUAAUUUGUAAAAAAAAAAUAACAUAGCUAUUGCAGUUUAUAGAAGUUGUUGAAGAUCGAGUACAAGAUAUUAGGUUAAGAAUUUAAUAUGAAAAAUUAUACAUUGUUGUUUUGUUUGACUUAAUGAUGUAAUAUGUUAAGCCAAAAAAAACCUUAUGCAAUGUUUUAUGAGAUUUCAAAAAUAGAAACAUAUCUUUCUUAGUCAUAGAAAACAAUAUUUGAAAGGUUGUAUUUACUAUACAAAAACAUAUACAAAUUAGAAUAAUUAUAGUUUAACCCUUUUUGGAUUAAAUUGUUUAUAAAAUCCAUCACCUUAAUAGUGAAUAAAAAAUAAAUUAAAAGACAUUUACAACACGAAAAAAUCACAGCGGGUUACUAUUAAAAAUGUUAUAACAAUGUACUUUACACAUACAUUCCUAAAAAUGGUUUAAUAUGAAAUUAUUAUAUUCGACAAUAAAGUCAUAAACAGUAACCAAGUUGAGAUAGUCAAACAAACAUAAAUAGUAACAACGGCCAAUUUGAUCCAUUUUUAAAUUAAAUUACCAAUUUAUCCUUCUGAUGAACAUAGUUCAUCCUAAAUUAAUGAUUUAGCCUUCAGAUAAAAAAUGGAAGUAUCAUGCUAAAAAAUCAUUUUAGUAUACGUGUCGUAUCAAUAUCUAUUGUUGAAUUUCUUUUCCAGCCCAAUGUUUUUCUAGUUUCCUAAGUCAAAUUACUCUUUUACCCUUAUGUGUCCUUACUUAAAAGUUUCUUGCAUCUAAUUUGCAAUCAAAUUAAAAUAAAUCACAUAAAUUUAGGAGUUUAAUGAUACCUUCAAAAGGUAAAUUUGAAUCUUCCUUCUUUAUUCUAUCACAAAUAAAAUUGCCUUUUUGCCCUAAACCUUAAAAUCGUACUUAACAUUUUAAAAAAUUCAUCUAACAAUAUCAAUAACCUUUAGUUAUGAUUUCAAUUUAAAGUUAUAAAUGUUGUAAUUCAACCAUCAUAUUAGGAUAUUAAUUUACAUUUAAACACUAAAAAAUAUCUCUUUAUUCCUAUUAUAUAUUUAUCUUAACAAAUUAUUUAAGUUCUAUAUCAAGAUUGCAAUCCCUGUAAUUCAGCCAACAAUUUAAGAUAUUAUAUAAAAUCAAAAUCAAUAACCAGGUUGAGAUAAUCAAACAAACAUAAAUAGUAGCGGCUUACGAUUUGAUCAAUGCUUAAAUUAAAUUACUAAUUUACAAUUUUGAUGAACAUUAUACAUACUAAAUUAAUGAUUUACCCUUCAGAUAAAAAAAUGGAAGUAUCAUGCUAAACAAAUACACAAAAAAUUGAUUACCAUGAAUAGGAAAAUGGGUAGGGUGCAUUUUGAUGGGUUUUGGUCAUAAGACAUCCUAUGUGCUCAUACAAACCCUAAUGCUUGGAUCUAGGUUUCUCUAUUGUACAUGCUUUGAAUCCAAGACUAUAAACCCUAAUUCUAGCAUAUGGAAAUCGAUAUUAACAUAUAAUUAGGUUUAUGAUAUUACCUUGAUUGUUAUGUAGCAAUAACAAUCCCAAUUCCUCCUUGAAUUGACUUUGGAAGGCUUAGAGUCACAAGUGUCACUCCUCUAAUGGUUCACAAACACCAUAAGCAAGAGGAUGAAGAGGAGAGAGGAUGGAGGUUACCAAAACUCGUGUGAAACCCUAGCAUGAAGCUUGUCCGCGUUUUGGUCCUUAAGGGAUCUAUAUAUAGUGAGACAAUUAGGGUUAUCUAACAAGGAAACCCUAAUUUGGUUGCUUAAGCCCUAAGCAACCCAUGGAUUACUUUCCUUAAGGGUCUGGACGAUUUCUAAUGGGUUUCCCCAUAGAAUUCGUCCACUCCUUAAUAUAAGACAAUCCAUAGCCCAAAUUGCAAUUAUCUUAUAAUUACAAUUCCAGUCCCUUAAGUUUAAUUAAUCUCUUUUAGUCACAAAACUAAUUACCAAUUAAUUAUUGACUAAUAUUAAUUAAACAAUAUGAUUUCUCCUUUAAUAUAUUAUUCUCAUAAUAUAUUAAUAAAUCAUAUUUAAUCCUUUCUCUCCAUAAUUCAUCCUAUCAAGUUGCUUUGGUGAAGGCAACCCAAAAGGACCAUGCACCAUCGGGUCAAGUACAUACCAAAAUAGUUAUGGACUUAGACACUAAUCCAACAGUCUCCCACUUGGAUAAGUCUAAUAACUAUUAUGCGUAUGACUUCAGAUCCUGAUCUGCAAUCGUAGCUUUCAAAAGCCGCUGUCAACUCUGAUCUUAUCAGAUACGCGUCCUUUAGAUAAGGGAUCAUAUAUUCCUCCAUUCUAGAUAUCGUAUAGACUGAGACAUGGAUUUAAAUCAUUCUCUCUGUCUAUGUGUUGUUUCCCGAUUUCCGAUUUAUGACGACUGACAACAGACUACAAUUGAACACAUCAAAUUAGUCCCGGCUUGGCCAAGCGCUUAUGUGUCAUCACUAAAUCAUCGAGGGGCCCACAGAUAUCGCUUUCAUCCUACUUUGGAUAAAAGGAACGGAUAAACUUUGAUUCAAUGCUUGCUUGCACUCACUCACCGAAUCACACACAACAAUAUGUUUUAUGACACCAAGUUACUGGUGCGUUUACAUAUUAUCAAUGUGUAACCGACUCGCAAGAUACAACUCACACAUCUCGGUUUCAAGAAUAUAAGAUAUUAUCGUCUCACCAAUCACUCGUGAUAAAAUCCAUGAAGUGAUCCAAGUGAGCGUGGGUUUAAUCCAAUGCUCAAAUCAUAUUCAUAAGCACUCAUGAACGUUGCAGCAAACAUUUGCUUAUGUCUAAUACACUUUAGACAAUCCACACACCAAUUCACGACAGUCUUCAUUCAUACCUACUUCCAACAUAUGAACGACUGUGGUCCGUUCGAAUAAUUUGAUUGUUCUGAACCAAUUUAAUUAUUCAGGAAGUCAAAACAUGCAAAGUGAAACACAAGAAUAAUACUAAUCCCAUAUGGCCCCAAACUCUGGGUAUAAAUAAAACAUUUUAUUUAAUCACCAUAUUGAUUACUCAUUAUUUGUUGUUUCGGGUAAUCAACUUCUUACUUGAAUUAUUACUACACUUGUCCCAUGCUCUCAGCAUGCACACAAUGUUUACCUACGGUCCUUACUUUGUGAAAUAGAUCAAAUGAACACAUUUCCAAUCAUACUCAUUUCACAACUCCCAAUCCUUAUCAUAAGUAUAAGAAUAUCAAAUUCUUGUUACUUAUGCUAGAUUCUAACAUUUUAUGCAAUGAUUCUUUCGUAAAGUCAUAGCUCAAAAUCAUCAAGACUUGGCCAAUCUCUAUCAGAAACAAUUCUAUAGAUAUGAUGUCUCUCACUCAAAGUACAUUCCUUUGAACAUCCUUCUUGCAUAAAAGUUUCUAAUCUAGACAUAGAUUCUCAAUAUCCAACUCCCAAUAUGGAAACAUUUCCAUAUUUUCCAUAUGACAACUCAUUCUUAAUAGAAUCUUAUCUAUUCAUAAUAAUGUCGAUAUGGUCCAUCCAAUACUAUACUUCCAACUACUCACAAGCGACCAAUCCUCGGCGAACUUUGGAUUGUCCUUUGAUAGUUGUUUAAUUAUCUUAGUCAAAACCGAUUCUUGUCCUUUUUCCCUCUAAAUGCGCUAGACAUUUGGAAAAUUUUAGAAUGGUCAAAUAUUAUAGCAUUUGCAAUCGAUCCUAUACCCGAAGCGUAUGGGACACGAUGCAUAAUGUCUUACAUAAAGAUUUGAUACUUUAUCAAUCUUCUGCCAUAAUAUUUUAUGUGUCACGUUCUCACAAUUCGAACUAUGAAGAGGGAUGCCAUAAUCAUAAUCGAAAUUUAAGAACACACUAUGUAUCCUUGACUAAAUUUAUUAACAUUCCACAACCUAAGCCUUUAGAUUUGAAAUGAAGCAUAAUAUUCUCUCCCUUAAUUAUAGCAAAACAACUAUUCAACCCUUACAACUUUGCAAAGUAUGACUCUUGUUUUCUAUAAUUAAUAUUGCUAACUUGCAAUACUUGCCUUAAUAAUCAUACAAUCAUAACAUUUAUGCUCCCACUAUCAUGAUGAUUAUUAUAAACAUAACACUUAUGCUCCCACUAGCUUUGACAUGUAUUCAGAAACCAGCUUAACUUCCAGAAAAACAAUACUUAUUGAAUUUCUUAAGUUCAUGUUUCUAAUACCUAAUGCUUUGAUAAUCCUUUAUCUAAGCUUAUACACCUUUGCCUUAGAUAGCUCAUAUGUGUGUCUAAACAAUUUAGACUAAUUGCCAAAUCUCACAAUUCGAAUCAUGGAAAGGGAUACCGUAACCAUAAUCGAAUUCGAGAAUACAAUUUUCACAAUCACUAUCUUUUUAAAAUCUCUCUUAGUGAAAGCAUUUCCUCACAGUCAUUUUCAUGAAGGAGGGAAUCUUAUGACACUUAGAUUUUAAUGGUGUAUGUGUUCCUAUCCAUGUGAAUUUGUCAAAACCAAAGUUUACGACAAAUUCAAACUCAUAUGGACCGAACUUUCUUAAUCUUGACUUCUUGCCUUAUGGUAACACAGCUGCCCACCAUGUCUUCCAAGUAGUUAAGCAGCUCACCCUUUCCUAUCAAUGUACUUUCCAUUGAUCAAGGUGCCUGCCUUUUAUGCGUUCAAAUGAGAACUCAUAGAACUCACAUGCAUAAUUAACUCAAUUGGAAUGGCACAGAAACAAAAUAAUGUCAACACGAUAGGUUGUAAACCUCAACUCGUGUGCUAGUGAUGAUCGAUAAGGUUUAUUUUGAUUUGUUCUUGAAACCUUUCAAGACCAUUAAGACUCCCACUGACUCCUUGACAUAUAAGAUUCUCUUGUCAAUAAACAUUUCUUGACAAACAAAUAUUCAAGAGUUAGUGUAGCUUUUAUCAAAACACUUCAUAAAUUGGUCCUAGUUGGUCUUUGUCUUAUCCAAGACAUCACAACUUUCCACAUUUGAUGAAUGUUAUAAACCUUCUUAAUACUUUUCACUCAAUGUCACAAUCUUAACUCUAAGACUUGUUUUGGAACGAAGUAUGAUUGACUUCUUGAUUUAACCAUUUCUUCAAUUCUUGAUUCCUCUUCUUAGACAUACAAUUGUACUAAGACUCACUUAGAGGAUCAAUUGAGAUAUGGUUCUUAAUCAUUAAGACCUAUCAUAAAGCAUAAAAGGUACUCUCCCUUCUUCUUAGAAUGGAGAAACUUUUAUCUUUCUGCCUACUUGAUUCUUCUUAUUCGUUCUGCUAUUGAUUUAAACUUUUUCAAUCAAUUCAGAAUUACACUUAAUCUUGUAAGUAUAAUCAUAUUUACUAAACCUUUAGUAAAUCAUGACGAAUAUCUUUGUUACUCUUAUGGUGGACUUGAUCAACACGCAACUUUGUGUACUCGAUCUCCUAGUCCUUCACUUGACACUUUGUCAAUGAAUUAGUCUAAUUUCCAAAUAUGAAAUUUCUCAUUCAUCGUGCAACCAAGUUGCAUGAUUCCAAGUUUCUGUCCAAUUGAAACUUGGGCGAUGAGAAACUCUCCCUAUUUGGUAAAUUCUCGACUUUCCAUAAAUAACAUAAUAAGAACCAAAUCCAUUAUUGCUAAUAAUAGAAACAUUCAAACAUCAAUUUUUCAUAUACGCCAUUGCAAGGAUAAAUAAAUAAUAUAAAAUCAAAAUUUAUUUUAUUGCGGAAAAAAUUUGUCCUUACAAUGCAAUUCAUUGAAAAACUAUGCUAAUACAUCUUUCUUAGCAAUCUAAUUCUAACUCUAAGUAGUAGCUCAAGAAUCUAAUCUUCGAGAAAUGCGAUCGAAAUCCAUUCCUUCACGGUUAGAUUCUGCUCACUUCUUCCCUUAAGCUUCCUUUCUUUUCUUCGAUCCUACAAAACAUCAAUUGUAAUCUUAUCACAUUAUGUAUUAAGAAUCUAGAAUAGAAGCUUAAAAGAGUUAGUUAAUGGAUUUUACCUAUAUUAGAGCCAUACGUUUCGACUCUCCCAUCUCUUAGAUCUCUUAGGUAAAUGGGGCAGCUUCGUCUCCAAUGCCCUUUCUCUUGGCAAUAAAAGCAAAUUGACUCUUUUGGAACAUGACAUGGAACUACUUCAGACAUUGCCUUUCUCUUAUGAUCAAACUUUUCGAUCAUAGCAUGUCUUUCGUUGCCAUUGUCUAUAUCCAUAGAGGUCUUGAAGGCAGAUUCACCAAUCAACUUUGCUUUUCUAUUGCGCCAAACCAUUGCUGAUUCAGCAGCAAUAAGCAUAUAGGUGAGAUCUAUAAGGGUCACGUCGCGGUUCAUCAUAUAGUACUCUCUUACGAACUCACUAUAUGAGUUAGGAAGUGACUGAAGAACCCAAUCAACAGCCAUUUCCUCACAGACAACGGAUCCCAACAUUCUUAACCUAUCAAUGUGUGACUUCAUCCCUAGGACGUGUGCACACACCGACUUUCCUUCUUUAUGUUUACUUGCCAAAAGGGCUUGAGUGAUCUUGAACUUUUCAAGCCUUUGAACUUGUGGGUUAGGGAGAAUAAUUGGAGGAGGAGGAGGAAGUGAAGCAUGAUUUCUUGUUCCUCGAUCGAAUCGUGGAAUAUCAUCUUCAUGUGGAAUGCUUGUUCCACGGGAUUUGGGAAGACCAUAGUUGUCGAACUUUGACAUCUACAAAACGGGAGAAAACGAAUUCAAGUUAGUUGAUUGAUUGAGUCCUUAGUAAAUCACCCAAAUGAGAUACUAAGGCUAGGACCCAACACAAUAUUCUACAACUCGGGAGAGGGAUGCCGUAACCCUAAUUGCAGAAUAUUUGAAGGUAAGUGAAUGACGAUUCACUAAUUUCCACCAUGAAAAACGAAAAAGAAAUUUAAGUUUUAAAUCUAUGAAAACUCCUAGAUCCUUUGAGAUUCAUUGAACUUUCAAUGGCAUGUUUAAAUCUCGAUAUGCCCCUCUUGUUUGUGACUGGGAUGCCGAGGAUCACAAAGCGGGUGUGAAUAACCAUGCAAACUUACAUGGUGCCCUCACAUGUUACAGUCACCUAUUCGAUGUGCCGGUAAACCACACACGCUCCACCGAACUAUGACAAACAUUGAGUCACCCUUUGCUACCUUUGCUUAGAACCAUUUAGUGUGCCGGUAAACCACACACGCUCCACUAACGUCUUCGCAAGGGCACAAAGUGUAAUUUCAUGGAAUUGCAUCAAUUCACUUUUGCCUAAGUAACUAAGAUUGGGAAUUUUAUGAAAACAUUUAGUUACUUUAAUAAUUCAUUAUACUUAUAAUGGAAGGUUUCGUCCUAUCCUACCCGUUCGGCUAACGACCCUCCACUAGUCAAGAGUGCGGUGGGUAAGAGUGGAUACCCAUUCAAUCGCCAUUUUAUAGGCAAUUUCCUUAAACACCCCUUAUAGACCAGCUUCGUGAAUGAGGCCUACUAACGGUAAGACUGACUUUUACUCAUACAUAUAUAUAAUGUUAGACUUUUAAUGUUAUAUAUAGUAUAGGGUGUAUUUUACACUUUUAAAAUACUAGGUGGUCUAAUUUAACAAUUAUACUUUUAAUUCAAUUAAAUUGUAAACCUAAACUUUUAUGGAUUUAUUAAACCUCUUUUAAUUAUACACCUUAAUUAAUUAAUAAAACCAUAAGGGUGUGAUUUGAACUUUUUCAAAACUAUACUAGAGUUUUAGAAUUUAACAUUCCUAAUUAAACUUUUAAUCAACUUUUAAAUUCCAAAACUUGAGGGCAAGUUUUGAAACAUUUCAACACAUUAGGGUUUAGAAUUUAAAUAUACAUCAAAAUUAAACCAUUUAAUCAAAAUUUAAAUUCCAAAACUUGAGGGCAAGUUUUGAAACCUUUUUCAAAACAUUAGGGUUUUAACUAUUUAAAUUUCAAAACAACAAAACUUUUGGGUUCAAAUUUAAACUAUAAAACCUAAAGGGGAAAAUAUGAAACUUUUCAUAACACAAGGAUCAAAUAACAAAUAAUCUAAAUUAACAUUUAAUCACAUAAUUAUCCAUAUUUGAUUUAUUUAAUGAUUUCUUGCAAAACAAUUUAUCAAUUUAGUCAAAAUAAUUAAUCAAUUAUCACAUAAGGAAACAAUUAUCUUAUUAAUUGAUAAAUAUCUUCAAUUAGAUCAAGAAUAUAGUCAAAUAUAUCAUAAAAUCGGAUUUAUAUUGAUCUAAUAUGAUAAGGUAACUAUCCAUAAGCAAAAACAGCAAGAAAUCGCGAAGAUAUCCCCAUCUGACGAGUUGACUCGUCGAGUCAGGCUUGGACUCGUCGAGUCUGCAUGGACUCGGCGAGUUCAGCCAUGGACUCGGCGAGUCCAGCCUCCAGAAACCCAAAAAACGAAUUUUCCAGUUAUACAAUGCAUCAAUACAAUUGAAACCAAGCUAGGCUCUGAUACCACUGAUGGGUUUUGGUCAUAAGACAUCCUAUGUGCUCAUACAAACCCUAAUGCUUGGAUCUAGGUUUCUCUAUUGUACAUGCUUUGAAUCCAAGACUAUAAACCCUAAUUCUAGCAUAUGGAAAUCGAUAUUAACAUAUAAUUAGGUUUAUGAUAUUACCUUGAUUGUUAUGUAGCAAUAACAAUCCCAAUUCCUCCUUGAAUUGACUUUGGAAGGCUUAGAGUCACAAGUGUCACUCCUCUAAUGGUUCACAAACACCAUAAGCAAGAGGAUGAAGAGGAGAGAGGAUGGAGGCUACCAAAACUCGUGUGAAACCCUAGCAAGAAGCUUGUCCACGUUUUUGGUCCUUAAGGGAUCUAUAUAUAGUGAGGCAAUUAGGGUUAUCUAACAAGGAAACCCUAAUUUGGAUGCUUAAGCCCUAAGCAACCCAUGGAGCCCUUUCCAUAAGGCCUUGGACGACUUCAUAUGGGCUUCCCCCAUAGAAUUCGUCCACCUUAUAAUAAAAGGCAAUCCAUGGCCCAAAUUGCAAUUAUCUUAUAAUUACAAUUCCAGUCCCUUAAGUUUAAUUAAUCUCUUUUAGUCACAAAACUAAUUACCAAUUAUUGACUAAUAUUAAUUAAAAAAUAUGAUUUCUCCUUUAAUAUAUUAUUCUCAUAAUAUAUUAAUAAAUCAUAUUUAAUCCUUUCUCUCCAUAAUUCAUCCUAUCAAGUUGCUUUGGUGAAGGUAACCCAAAAGUACCAUGCACCAUCGGGUCAAGUACAUACCAAAAUAGUUAUGGACUUAGACACUAAUACAACACAUUUGUCAUUCUAUCGAAGUACUUUGAUAUAUUAUGUUUUAAUUGGUUUCCAUCAAAGUACAUUAUUAUUAUUAUUAUUAUUAUUAUUAUUAUUAUUAUUAUUAUUAUUAUUAUUAUUAUUAUUAUUAUUAUUAUUAUUAUUAUUUNNNNNNNNNNNNNNNNNNNNNNNNNNNNNNNNNNNNNNNNNNNNNNNNNNNNNNNNUUUGGAUUAAAGGUACGUAAUAGUUUUUCCUAUUUAUUUGAAAAGUUUCAGAAAAGUUGUUAAUCGAUUUCAUGUAAGUUGUGACAAAAAAAAUCGAAAUAUAUGAAUACAUAUAUUUGAUACAAGAACAAAACAAUAAUCGAAAAAAAAUAAAAAAAAGCUAAAGAAGGUAUCGGCCAUCUAUUGCACGACAACGAAGGUUUGAAGCAGAGAAUAAUGAUCAAAGUUAUAAGCAAUAUGAAUGAUGUUGUAAGAGAAUGUUUGAAGAAAAACAAUGAUGGAAAAUAAGUGUGAACCGCGGAUUCAAGGAUGAAUCGUAUAUGUGUGUGAUAAUUUGAAUUUGAUUUUUUGGUAUGAAUGGUUUCCUAACAAAAAUGGAUAUUAUAUUAAUGAUUUGCUAAUAUAAAUGGAUUUAUAUUAAUGGUUGAUAUUUAAUGCCUUAAUUGAAAUGAUUUUUAGUAAUAUGUUUUUAAAGUUGACAAUUUUAAAAUCUUUAUAACUGGAAAUUCAAGAUUUAAAAUAUAAGAAGUUUUUAUUAGAAUUAGAUACAUUCCAUUUCAAUGGAUUUAAGUUAAUUUUGUUUAACAAUUGGAAAGCUUUUAUUGGAAUUAAAUACAUUCCAUUUGGGAAGAUGAUGUCAAUAAUUUGAUCUAAGGGUGGAAAACAUAGGAUUGAAAUACAAUCAAUGGCCCAAAUUGUUUAAGAUGAUGUCAUAAGAUUUUUGUUUUAAUAUAUAUUAAAGAUAACAUAAUUAUUGAUAUGCUUAUUUAAUGAUCUUUUUAAAAAGAAAAAAACUAAACAAGUUUGAAUUUUGAAGCCAAAAACUAUAAAUAAGGGAGUUAAAUUAUGAACAAUAUUAAUUAGGGUUAAUGAUGACACAUAUUUUCAAAAGAUGUCUUGAAGGAGAUGCUUGCUUCAUUUUGUAGAGAUUUGUGUGAAGCCAAAACAGAGGUGUGAUAAUUGGAGAUGCAAGGAAAAGGCAACACACAAAUUCUAAGAAUACAUGACCAAAAAGGAAUCACCUUAUGGUGCUACAUUCUGUUAUGAACACACAAAACAUCAAUUGAAGCACAACCAUUAACAUGAGGACGAAGAGGAUUAGAGAAUUAUGGUUUAAGAGAAAAAAAAUAGAGGAGAAAAAUGGGAAAAAUGGGCGGCUAUUCAUGUUUCUGGCCAGAUUUAUGGAGAAACGGAUACUUCAUAUAUAAAUAGAAUAAUAUGCUUCAAUUGAUAACAUAAUUGCUGAUUUUAAAGAUUCUAUAUCUAAAUGUAAUUAUGCUCGAAUUUUGAAAUAUAUUUUAGAAAGUAUGAAUAGAUUCUAUAAUUAAAUAUUCUAUAAUUAAAUGUAAUUGUGUUUGAAAUAUAAUUGCUAAAUUUAAAGAUUCUAUAAUUACAUGUUUGAAUUUUAUUUGGAGAAGAUGAUGUCAUCAGUUUGAUCUAAGGGUGGAAAUCAUAUGAUUGAGAUACAAUCAAAGGUCAUGAUUGCUUUAUUGGUGAAUUAAAGGAUCUCUUUUAAUAAUAAUUAGAGAUUGGGGAAGAAAAUCACUGAUUUUUCACAUUUAGUCCCUAAAGUUUCAAAAAAAUUGUACUUUUUUACCCAUAAACUAAAAUUGUUUCAAAUUUUGGAGAUUUUUGUAGGGAUUUCAAGAGUGUUAUUUUUGCAAGAUGUUUUUCAGCAACAUGAACAUAUUCUGUUCAUUUUUGGUCCAAGGCAAUCCGAGAAGAUCCCUUUUCGACUAGAAGUGAAAAAUUUAUCGAUUCUUCGGAUUUGAAGUGAAACGUUUAUGCCAUGUGUCAAGGAGGAGGAUUGAAUUGCAUAUUCCACAUUGAGCACUUUCUCAUUCAUAUUUGGGUUUUAUAAUCAUAUUUCGAUUAUAAAAAGGGGGGAGAGAUUAGUAAUAUGAGAAUUCGAAGUCGAAAGUUUUGAAUUUUUCAUAUUAGGCGAAUUUGAAGACUAAUGUGACCUUGAGGGGGAGUAAAUCAUGAAGUUAUUCGAAUUGGAAAUUAUGAAGUGGUUCGGGUAUUCCCAGCCUCAUGAAGGGUUUGGACAUAAUGAAGAUUUUUGGGGUGUGUUUUUAUGCUCAAAGUUAGGUAAUUGAUUCGUGGAGGUUUGAUUCUCCAAAUUACCUUUUGAUGAUCAGAUUGUAAUAUCUCACAUUCUAGAACUCGGAUUGGAAAAUUAUUGAAGACUUGAAGAUUUGAUGCUUAUUUCUACAUUUAUCACGCUUGAGGAUUCGUUCGCAAAGUUGCUCAUUUUGGAUAUUAAAGCCGAUUCAUCAAUUUCUAAAUGUCAAAAGUCAACAAGUCAGCAACCAAUGAAAGUCAACAGUCAACCACGUCAACAAUCACCAUGACGUGGAGUCCUCUUGGCCACAUCGUGGGCAUGACAAGUCAAAAUUGAUGACAUGCAGGACAUCGUCAUGUCGUGCCAUUGACGAAGUGAGUGGUGGAGAAUUUUCCUCGCAGUACUCACAAUUUUUUGAGUGUUCACCGGAUUCACACUAAUAUGCUAUCUUUUUAGAUCGGAGGGUAUGGGUGGGAGUUUCCCCCACUUUUUGUGGGCCACACCACAAUUUCCCUCACUUUCCUUUCCUUCGCCUAAAACCAAAGGAAUGGGUGGAAAGCUCCCCUCACUAUUUUUUUAUUUUUUAAAAAAAAUAUAUUUCAUACAUAUAUUAUACUCAUUUUUUAGGGAAUUAAAAACCAUGAACUUUGAUAUAUUUUUUAUAUUUUUUUAGUAUGUAUAUAAUUUUAUAAAUAUUAAAAAAGAUAAAAGAAAAAAAAAAUUGGCCAAUAGAAUGAGGAGAGAAAGUGCGACACCCCCUCCCCCCACCUCUUUCCCGCGGGUUGCUUCCCUCACCCAAGGGAUGGUGUUCCAGAGUGAGGGAAGCUUCCCUCACCCCUUUCCCNNNNNNNNNNNNNNNNNNNNNNNNNNNNNNNNNNUAUAUAUAUAUAUAUAUAUAUAUAUUAAAAAGAUAUCAUAUUUGAAUGAGUAAUUUUAAUUUUUAAAUGAAUAAAAAUACGGGUGUAUAUAAAAUAGUUGAUGAUGUACAAAUGAAUGUUUUUUUUAAAAGAAUAUUGAUAUAUAAUAAGUUAACUAUAAAUACUUCUAUGACAUAAUCAGGAAACGAAUUGACAUUGCGUUAUUAACUUAUUGUAGAUUGUUCUAAGUGCUUAUCUCAUACCUGUGACUAAUAAGGUUUUUAAUGUAGUGGGGUUGUCUUGAUAUUUUCUUAUUUAUUUCUCCAAUCUUAGUAGGCAUGUCGAAUUGUUUAUUUUAUUUUUAUUUAUUAUUUAUUUAUUUUUGUUAAGAUUGUUUAUUAGUUUGUGGUGACAAAAAUGGAUUUCUAAAAAAAUAUUCGGAUUAGGUUAUAUAAUGUCAAAAAGUUAUAAGUUACAAACCUUUAAAAAAAAUGCUUGGGUUAAUUUUAGUUAUUUUUGGUGAAUAAGUUACAAACAUUUUUUAAAAACUCAUAAUUUAUAGCUUAUUUAAAAUGAUUUUUUCAAGGAUAACAAAAAAAACUUUUUAAAAAUGCUUAUUAAUUAACUUGACAAACACUUUUUUAACUUAGCUUUUUGAAAAACUAAUAAAUUGAUAAGGCUAUCGGGGGUGUCGUCCGAACGUCAUGCGCGUCGUAGGUGUGAACACCAUCCUGACUGGUCGGCGUCAUGGUGAUGCCGCGUAAUCGGAACCACGCUUGAAGACUUAUCCAUCUCUCUCUCUCUCUCUCUCUCUCUCUCUCUCACUAAGACCACCCCAAUGGUGGUGGUGUAGGGGCGUGGUUGUGGCAUUCCCAAUUUUACAGCCAGAAAGACCGAUUUGUUUAUGCUUAUUUAAAAAUUAGAGUAUAUUUUUGAAGAAUAAUAUUGCGGAAUUUGUUCCAAAAACAUGAUAAUGAUAUUAUCAAAGCAUUUCCGAGGAAAUGUAAUUUAUUUAUAUUAAAACGUUUGGAUGUCAUCGUCAAUACGACAAUAUAAGCAUAACGAAAUAUUAUAAGUCUUACAGUAAUUAAACUAGUGACCUAAUACUCAUUAAAUAUCUCAGCAGAAUGUAUCAUUAAUAUCGCUAUUUGUGAUACAAUAAACUAAGUGGGUCAGUUUUGGAAACCUGGUGAGUACAUAGGGUUUUCAACCCACAAUAAUAUAAUUAAUAUGUUUAAUCAUCAAACAAUUAACCCAAUUUCUCCCCCUCAUUAUCUUCUUUAUUCUUAAGGAUCUUCCUUAAGGAUCAUCUAUGCUGCCAAAACUAUUUCAAGGAUUCCUCCAUGAUACUUGUCAGUAGGUAUUCUUGUAUAUUUAAUCCUAAGGAUUUUUCCUAAGGAAUAGACAUGAAGUCCAUCGCUAUCAGUGUUUAUCUAAUAUCACUAAGUCCAUAGCUGCCAGUGUUUAUUUGUUAGGCACUAAGUCCAUAGAUACCAGAGUUUAUUUUCUUUAUUGACAACAUUACUUUAGGGAGUCCACCCACAAUACAUGUCAAUGAGUUUUUAGAGUACAUCUAAUGAACACAUGGUUCACAAACACCUACAGGCUGCGAGUCUGCUAGCGUUUCACUGGAAUGUCUAGAAUAGUCCGUGGUUGUCAUCUAUACUCAGCUAGAUGAUGUCUUCUUUAAAGUUAAGGCCUCUCAUCAUCUUUCUCAUAUUUCAUCUCUUAUCAUCUAUAUCAUCUUUCAUCUUUCAUCAUCUAUAUCAUAUUUCAUCUAUCCAUCUUUACCCAAUAUAUUUAUAGGUAUAAAAAUGCAUAUUCAGUUUAAAUCAAGUAAAACAUGUAUAAAUCGUUCAUCUAGCAUAGAUAUCAGGAACACAUAUAAUAGGUACAUAUAGUAUGUAUUUAUAUUAAAUACUUCACAUCGAUGUGUAAGAUGAAUGUAACUAUGUACUCACUUGUUAAAGUGAUGACUCGAAACUCAGACAACGUUUUGCUUCUAGCAACUGUCUUUUCAUUCGAUGUAACAUGGUAUUAUUAUUAGGGAUGAACGUGGGACGGAACCGGUACCGACCCGUACCGUUCCCGAUUUCCCGAAAACCGAAUUUGGUCAAAAAUCAAUCCCGAGUACCGAACCGAAUUAAAAUCACCGGUACCGGUACCGGUUUUCGGUACUAGUACUGGUACCGGCGAUACCGAUUCCCGAAUUUCAUGUAUUUUAAGUACCAAGUACCGUCCCAUAUUUUAAAAUUCGGUACGGUUCGGUACCGGUACGAGAUCGGGAUUUGGGAAAAAUUGCUCAUACCUAAUUAUUAUCAAUGAGUCUUAGUCUAAUAUUUAUUGCGACUAAUUAUUAGUCUAGAUUAAUCAUUAAUUCAAAGUUUACUAAUCUAUAGCUGAUAAGUGACAACCACGUAAGAUCAUAUCGGAGGUAAGGUCUGUUUGGUAUACAAACUAUACUGUUUUGGAAAACCCAAUUUAAACACCUCACUAAAUCUAGCAUUGUCAUCAUCCCUGUAAGUAGAUCAAUUAAUAUAACGACUUUAAAUCACUGAUAAAUCUUGUUUAUAGGUUCAUAAUAACGAUAAUGAAUUUAAACAUAAGUUACACUUAAAGCGUAAUAGGUGUAGCUUAACUUACAGGGUUUCUAGCGAAAACUUAGAACUCCGUCGUCAGAACUUUGUAACUAAAUCUUUUUUUCUAAAAAGAUUCUUAUAGCGCUUCAACGCCCACCUUACUAUACUAAAACUACAUAAAGAGAAGUCGAAUCACGAGGGACCGAAUGCUCGGGGAUAAGAAGAUAAAGACUCUUAAAUUAAGAGAAUGGUGCAAGAAAUAUGAGAGCAUAAAGUCUCAUAUUUAUAGUAAUUGAAUUUUCAAUAACUACAUUUUAUAGUUACUUAAACGACCUUAUUGUUAUUUAAACGACUAAACGCCCUUUAUAAUACUGUUUUAAAUAUAUUUAAUGAUAUUUGUAUUAAACUAAUAUCGAAAGUAUUCAAUAUUAGUCUUAUAAUGACUGCAUCGUCGAUACAUUUCUAAUGAUAUAUAUAUAUAUAUAUAUACACACACACACACACACACACACUUUAUUUUAAUAUGUAAAUAUGUUAUUAUAAAUUAUAACUUGUUCAUAUGAACUUCGUUUUUAACGUUCUUUAUAUCCAUGUGUAGCUAUCGACGACAUCUACAACUUUCGUUUAGACUCCGUCGACUAAUUUCGACUUUAAUUUUAAAUUAUAUUUUAACAGACUUAGACUGUUAAUGUCCGUUAAAAAUUCAUAAUUUUGUCAUCCGACAUUCGUUUUCGACUGUUUUUUAUCGUUCAACUCCUAUUGAUAAGGUCUUCAAUUAUCGUUUAGAUUGUUUUGGCUAAAAAUCAACCGAUCUAAAAUUCGAUUUUUGAGUUGCAUACCGCUAUGGUGAAUCUUAGAAAAAUCAUAACUUCCUUUAACGAAGUCAGAUUAAAACGUUCUUUAUAUGAAUACUCUCGGUUUGAUGACUACUACGACUUUCGCUUAGAUGACUAUGGCUAAAAAGUAUUUUAUCAAAAAUUAACUUUUUACGUUAUGUAGAGUCAUGCCAGUUUAAAUCGCAAAACUUCAACGAGUUAUAACAUCUUCGUUAUAAGUCGUAUUUCAGCGUUCUUUAUAUGUACAGAAUCCUUGUGAUAUGUAAUACUCCCUCCGUCCCAUAAUAAUUGUCCACUUUUGACUUUUGAAGUCUUUAUUCAUCAACUUUGACCUUAAAUAUUGUUAUUUGUGUUAUGUAUUAGUCGUUGAAACUUAUAGCAAUGAAAAAACAUUUAAAAUACAAUCUAUUCAUAAAUUUUGCAUUAAGUUUUAUAUAUCAAGGACAAAAAUAUUUAAGGUCAAAGUUGAAGAAUAAAGACUUCAAAAGUCAAAAGUGGACAAUAAAUAUGGGACGGAGGUAGUAUAACUUUGGUUAUAAUUAUUUAUCCGAAAUAAUCUUAUAUAAAAAAAAUCAUUUUAACACUUAUUACCUCUAAGUUGACUAACCCGAAUCUACGGGCGUUACCGUUGACAUAACGAUGAUGUGAAAGGUGGCUACAUUGUAAAACUCUCCUUCUCGCUCCCUCUAAAUUGCCUAAGCAAUUUUGAAACUCAAACAUCUCUUAUAUUCAAUUUUCAAAUUUUCUUUUGCAAAUGUCAGAUAUGUAUCUUACUAAAUCGCAUCAUAUGUGCUAUAUGAAAUCUCCAUGAAGGAAAACACUUUUCAAUCCCAAAACAUUCCGGUUGAUGAACGACCACUUCUGAGUUGAGAUCUCCAUGAAUGAAAACACUUUUCACAUGAAGCUAAAAUAUUCCUAGCUUCUCACUAGGUUUUUUUAUUUUAUUUUAUUUUAUUUUUUUUUAUUUUUUUAUUUUUAUUUUUAUUUUUAUUUUUUAUUUUUUUUUAAAUAAAAUUUUGCCAUUCAAAAACAAGUCUUGCCACGGGUACAAACAAUUUCGUAUAAUUUACGCCGUCUGAUUGAGAAUACUACCAACUUUACUUUAACUUUUGCACAUUUGCUCUUUCCUUAACCUUUGUUUUGUAAACUCAGUUUGACUCCAAUUGGCUUUACUCCGAUCCCACAAGCUUAUUAAUUCCUAUUAUUUUUUUUUCUAUGGCUUUUAUCAUCACAAUCAUUGUUUCUCUCAACUUCUUGCCUUUUUAAAAAAAAAAAAAACUCUUGAACAUAUGAAUUAAUAUUCAACUGUUUACUAUAAAUUUAUAUAUUGUUUCUUGAAAUCCAUACAAAAUAUUUAUACUGUGAUCAAUUAGAACAAAGUAAUACAUGUUCUGAUUUAUAAUACAAGAGUAAAAAUAUGAAUAAACAUUCAUAUGAAAGUAUUCAAUUGUGAUUCAUAUAUACCACUUUUAACAAUGCUUUUUUUUUUCUCCCUUUCACUAAUCCUUUCACUAACGUAUUACUUUUAACAAUGCUUUUUUUUUUCUCCCUUUCACUAAUCCUUUCACUAACGUAUUAGGAAUCACAAUAGGUAUAUUAGUAAAAACAAUGUAUUUUUUUUUUUUUUGGUUUCUCCGUUUGCUAAUUUCUUAAAACGGGUUUGAUAAAAAUCAUAAUAGAAUACUGAAAAAGGGCCUAUAAGAUCAUAUUAAUUUUUAUUUUUAUUAUAUACUUAAUUUUUAUUUUUAUUAUUUAAUUCUAUAGUAAGAAUCACCAUAGGUAUCACAUUGUUCUAAUCAAUGUUUUAAAAACCGUUUUUUUAGUUGAACCGGUAUGGUGACCGGUUUUUGGUUUAACCGGUUUCACCGCCGGGUUAACCGGUUUCUAUAUUUUCAUGUUUUUUUUCUAUAUUUUCCUAUACAUACAUAUAUAAAUCAUGAAUUUGAUGUUUACAAAUUCAAACAUUAAAAAUAUAUAUAAAUAUAAGUUUUUGAUGAAUCCAAAUACAUUAAAAUAACAUAUAACCAUAAGUUCUAUUGUUUUACAUCAAUCCAUAUAUAUCAAAAAGAAAAUAAAUUAUAAUACCGUAACGAAAUAUAAUUUUAGAUGAAUAUAAAUACAUCAAAAAACUUUAUAACAUUUAUAAUAUGUUUUUAUUUAUAGAAAAUUAAAUAGAUAUGAAAAAAAAAACAUCAAAGUUUAUUAUGUAAAUGGUUUUUUUUUCAUAUUUUUUUAUUCGGUUUAACCGGUUUAUUUUGACCGGUUCAACCGGUUUUCUCUAAAAACCGGCCGGUUCAAAAAUCAAUAUAAAACCGGUGAUAUUUGAACCACUCCUCCCCGGUUUCCGGUCCAACUGGUUGGAUCGGCUGGUUCACACCGGUUUUCAAAACAUUAGUUCUAAUUGAUAUCAGUUCAAAUCGUUUUUAUGGAUUUCUACUUGAAACCAAUUUAUAAAUUUGUAGUAAAAGAUUAAAUCGCAUUUUCUAUUUAUAGGAGUUAAAAAAGUAAACAUAAGUAUACGUACUAUUUUGAUUGUAAAACACGCGUCUUACCCUGGGUGUUAGCUACAAAAAUAUAACUACCGUAACUUUAUAUACAAAAAUAUUGUUUGUUUUACUAGUAAAAUGCAUAUAUUACCUCUUUGAUAGUUCUUGUUUGAAUUAGAAAAUAGAUAAAAUCGAUGUAAAGAAAGAUUAUAAAAAGUAAACUAGAAACUUGAAUAAAAAUUAUGAGAUGAAACAAAAAUAAAAUCUCAAAAACCCAGAAGUUUUAUUGGCGAUAUCUACACAUAAUCUAUACCCGAAAUACUAAUUUGGGAUUGAUAAUAGUUUUGGUAUAUGAAGUUAAGUCAUUGACCUAUAUCUCCUAUAAUAAUUAUAAUAAUCAUUUUUAUGAUUUUCCCAAAAUAUUAACAGAGUAACUAACUAAAACUGAUUAUCCCAAAAUAUUAACAAACUAAUCAAUUAAAGCUGACGUGGACUUUAAUAUUGUAAGAGUUACAAGGGUUUAAACAGAUUUAAUUACUUGUGAAGAAUAGAAGUUACUAGGGGUUAAGCCCAUUCAUCAGCAUUUUCAUAAGCCCACUCUCUCUCUCUCUCUCUCUCUCUCUCUCUCUCAUACCUAAAAUGAUCAGAUGAUGAACGUCAACCAAUUUUCGUGCAACUAAUUGGCAUCAAUGCGCUAUAUGUUGAUGCAAAAUUGUUGACAAGUAGUAGGAAUUAGAAGAAAAGAAAUGUCGCAGAGCAAUAUUACUACUAGUAACUUGAAUGUACCCGUGAGUGAAGUCUACUGGUCUCUUGUAGCUAAAGCCGAUAAAAAGUUCUCCAAAAUUAGGGAUUUGCCGUAUUACGAACGCAACAGGUCAAUUUCUUUCUCUUUGUUGUAAUUUAGUUUGUAUUAGUGUUAUAAUAAAGCUAGCGAUAUGUCCAGAAUCUAGUUUCGUGAAUCGUAUGUCUGGAAACUUAUACAAAUGCAUUUGAGCAUGUUACUGUUAAGAACUUAUACAAUUACUGCAUUUGAGCUUGUUGCUGUUAAUUUGUUUAACGUCAGAUUCUAGUAAAAUGUAUCUUAGGGAAUGAUUUAAUCGCUUGCUCCUGUCCAUGGUAUCGAUCAACUAACCUUCAUGAUAGUCGAAGUAAUACAUAUAAAACUCUAGUUAUGAAAAUGAACAAUUAGGGUACACAAUGUGGUUUUGUAUGUAAUUUAGGUGUUGUGUAUGCUUAUGGCAAAUUCCUGUUGUUUAAUACAGCUAUAUGAUAUUCUAGUUAGUUAACCUUGCACCAAUACAUUUGAUACUCCUUAACUAUAAAGUUGUUUUGCAAUAGGUAUGAUACCUACUUCUACAAGGUAUUCAAAGUUUAUACACAGUUAUGGAAAUUUCAACAAGACAAUCGACAAAAGCUUGUGGAAGCAGGACUGAAGAGAUGGGAAAUAGGUGAUAUUGCAUCGCGAAUAGGGCAACUUUAUUUUGGACAAUAUAUGAGAACAAGUGUAGCCAGUUAUCUGUCAGAGUCAUAUAUCUUUUAUGAAGCAAUCUUGACUAGGGAGUAUUUCAAAGAUGGACUCUUACAGGAUGUGAAUCUUGCCAACAAACAGUUGAGGUUCAUUGCAAGAUUCUUGACUGUGUGUUUAAUGUUGAACAAACGAGAGAUGGUUUAUCGGUUGGUAAGUCAGCUGAAAGUGCUAGUUGCUGACUGCAAGAGGACUUUCCAGGUAUUUAAUCUUAGGGUUUAUUUCAUAUAUUACCAUUAAAGUUGUACCAAUUUACCCUUUUGCCCAUUUAGGUAUCAAAAGGGGCGAGUUUGUCACUGAAUUUGAUGAUCUGUAUGCAUUUGCUCAUUGUAACCUGUUAUAACAAGUAAAACCAUUUUUCAUGCCUACAUGGUAUCCACAUAGGCAUCUUUAUCAUAUUACAUACAUGUGGCACUUACUUUGGCAUUCACAUGGGAAUGUUCAUGCAUCUUAUAUAUCACUUUUAUAUGAUCUUGUUUCAGGACACCGACUUUAUAGAAUGGAAGCUAGUGAUACAAGAAAUAACAAAGUUUCUCAAAGUGGACACAGCUUUUAUGAAUACAAGGCCUCUGAGAUACAGCCUCACAUUAGAUGUAGAGCCUAAUAGCCUGCCACCUGUCCCCAAUGUGAUAAGAAACCUAAAACUGAGAGACGCGAUACUUUGCAGCUAUCAUCCAAACGAGGUGAAAUUCUCAGAGCUCACCCUUGACAACUUUAGAAUGCUUCAAUGUUUGGAGUGGGAACCAAGUGGCUCAUUCUACCAAUCAAGUGGAAGUUUGACCAGUGGUCAACAUGCAGUCAAUCAGGAGAUUUCUGAUCCUACAUUGCCACCAAAUCCACGCAAAGCUGUCUUGUGUCGUCCAUCCAUCACUCAUUUUUUAGCAGUAAGUAAACUCACUUUUUACUAUUAAUUUAUUAGUUGUAAUAAUUGUAAGUUAAAAAUGUGAAUUUGUUUUGUGUGUGUUCUUGGUGACAGGUUUUGGCUACUGUGUGUGAGGAGCUUCCUCCUGAUGGAGUUCUCUUACUCUAUAUAUCUGCUCCAGGUAUCUCAUAUAGUCUGCCUUUUUUUGUUAUGUAAAUUUUGUAAAUUAGUUCAUGUCUGUAAGCAUUAAGUCCCUGUUUGUUAUGCAUUCAGAUGCUGCAUGUACUUCACCACCCUCUGACAACACAAACAGUUCUUCAGUGAAAAAGAUUAUGAAUGGCUCUGGAGACCAUUCUAGAGGGGUGAAUCUUGGUUCUAAAGGAAAUGGAGGUACUGUAAUGUAAAUUAUUGGAAGAUUAUCAGGUGGCAAUUAAAUAUUUAAGACAUUUUUUUGAUUAAGAAUGAUGUUGAUUUCAGGUUUAAAUGUGAUAUAUCCUUGUGACCUGAUUCCAUUUACAAGAAGACCACUUUUCCUUGUUAUUGAUAGUGAGAAAAGUAACGCUUUUAAGGUAAGUUUAUAUUCUUUUAAGACUUUAAGAAGAUAAAUGUUCCAAUUGGAUGGAUGAAGUCUCACCUAGUCACUUGUCAAUAUCUACCCAAUGAGAUCAUUGUGCUUUCAAAUUUUUUUUUUGUUAUUAGGACAUUACGAUUAGAAAAAUCUACCAAAUCAUAGCAGUGAAACCUGUUUUGUAUUAGAAUGAUAAUGCUAUGAAUAUAAUUGGUAGAUUUUUCAAAAUAAUACGCUGUAAUAAGGAAGAAAUGAAAAUAGGAUGCUAUAAUAAACAAAUCACUAAAAGUACAUUGCUAUAUCUCGCAUAUAGACAGAAUGAAUUGUCUGAACAAGAGUAAAUGACGAUGUUACCCUUAUGUCCAGAGUCAUGUAUGUUCCGUAUCAAAAUGAUUACUUUCAGUUUUUGCAUAUUUUGACAGAGUUUGGAAAGAGAAGUAAACGGAGAGGCAGUUGCAAUGCUCCUAUCUCCAGCCUCUUCAAUUGGUGACCCAAAUGGAAGUCGUCAAUUCACAACCUUUCUCACAGCUCCACUGCAGGCUUUUCUUAUCUUAAUUGGCUUUUCGGGUCCCGACAUCCAGACAGUAUGCCCCUCUCUAUCUCUCUACAAAAUACAUAAUUACCAAUCUGUCCUUGUUGGCUGCUAAAAUAGAAAUUUUAUUCUCAGGAUAAACUCAAUGAGGCUGAAAGGGUUCUUUCUUUGGCUUUAAAUCACUGGGGAGAUACUUUGGCUUUAAACCUUGCGGUAUCUCCAGACUCGCUUCAUCCCGUGUGGGCCCAAAUUUUAAAUGAUCCGUUUCUCAGAAGGUUGCUUUUAAGGUAACUCCUUAGUCCUUACCAAUUAAUGAGAUAUACAAGGCAAAAUAUUUUAAAGCACGUCUACUUUCAUUAUUUUAUCAAUUUCACCACUUAACUAUUUUGUGUUGUGACUAAACCGGUAUACUUGGUACUUUUUUGACUAUUUAGAAAAGCACAACAUACUUUCACCAUUUUAUGGAUUUAGGCGCUCAUAUGAUAAAAAUAAUAAAAAAGAGUAUUUGUGGUUAUAUUUUUGUAAAAAAGGUUUGGUGUGUCAGGUUCAUAUUUUGUCGGGCAGUGCUAUCGCUAUACACUCCCACAUCCAACAAAAAGGAAUAUCUGCCCGACUGCUCACCCGCCCUACCAAACUCCGUGUCCCCAACACACGGCGCAUACAAAGAAGCAGUUCAUAAAAUAGCCGAUAUUUUCGGUGUAGCACCCAUGUUCAACCUUCCCGAACCUCUUCAACCUAAACCACCCGAUGUGUAGAAAAAUUACCAAACUUUUAUACUUUAUAGUGAUGUUCUUUGUGUCUAACCCUUGUGGAUUUCUAGUCUUUUUUUUUUUUUUUUACAUCAAUAUUUUGAAGAGUUUGGGUGUAUAGGAAUUUAAAUGCCAAUUUCCAAAUGUUGGGGGGUAUUGUUCAUUUUGCUCAUAGCAUCAUCAUUCUUAUAUGUACAAUACAAGGUGGCAACCGCAGAAACUAGAAGGCUAUUAAUAAUUGGAAAACUUUGUUUUUUAUUUUUUUUAAUCUCUAAACCAACAUAAAAACAUAUAUUAUUUAAGCAUGCAAUUACCAAAGUCGCUUAAUGUUACCUGCGCUAGUCCCUUACCUUUUCUCUCGUUUCAUAAUCUAUCCAUAAGUGAAUGAUAAAUUGGGUGUGUAUUUUUUCAUUUGCAUAUAUUUUUAUUUGGGUUUUAAUAUGGUGCUAUUAUUUAUUUUUUCUUAUUUGUUGUUAUCGUUGAUUUUUGAAAUUUAAAAUGAAAAAAUGGGGAAAUGAACAACUCAUACUAUUCUAGUCAUAAGGUUUUUUUUUUUUUUUUUUUUUUUUAAUUCCUUAUUACUUACUACAUAUUUUUAUACUGUUAGCAUUGACUUUGCAUCUAAAAAUGCUAAAAAAAAAUAUAUAUUUUUCAGAUUAUUGAAUGGCUACUAAAUUGGGGUCUUUGAAGGGCGUUAUGUUUCUUCUCGUCCCUGCCCGAUUGAAAACGAAUAAACUACCCGCCCCAUGGCCACCCACUUUCUUGCUAGUCAUCACUUUAUUCCAAUGCACCUAAUGUAGUUAUUGUUCACCUAAAUCCUAAAAUCCAAUUGAAGUAUUAUUUUAUUCCGAAAAAUAAAAUUUAAAUAAAAGAGUUUUAGUGAAGAAGGGUGUAAUCGACAUUAUAAAUUGUUUUUAGAGGUCUAAAGUGUGCUUUCGGGGUUUGUGGUGUAAAGAAUAAUUGAGCAUACGUGGCUAAAGAAAAAUCAUUUGGACUUGUUUUUGUAGCUUUUGGACUUAAAUUGAAAAGAUUUUGGAAGCUGGGGGUUGAAUGGUAAUUUAUAGAUUUAUGUUGAAAAUAAUUCGGAAAGGAGGGACCAUAAGUGUAUUUUUGACAUUAGAGUUUGAUUUGGAGACGGGGCUUAAACCCGUCCCCUUCCUUUCUUUCUUCCCAUUCUACAUGUAAACCCUAACCCUAGGAAAGUUUCCAGCCGCCACCCUUAUCUCCCUUCCCUUCCAGCCGGCGCCGCCACCCCUGCUGUUGAAGUCGCGAACCGCCAACCAAUGUCACCGCAGUUGCUGCCAACGAAGCCAAGGACUGCUGAAGGCCGACGUCGUGGCUAUGUUGCUGUCGUUCUCGGACGCGCAUCCUACCUUCUUCUGUUUCGUCGUCGAUCUCGCCAUAGGUACCACCAAGGGGUUACGUCGUUGCCGUUAAAGCCGACCGUUAGCGGCACUGCUGCCACUAUUUUGUGUCACUGCCCGUUCGUCACUCUUCUGGCCGUCGUCCUUCUCCAGGUGCGAAGCGCAGCUUCAUGGUGGGAGUUUUAGUGUGCGUGUGUGUGUUUGUUGGCCAGAAACUGAAAGGGAACCACCAUGGCGGCCGACCAUGGUGGUUGUCACCUCCUACCACCGUUCUACCACCACCAGCCGCCACAUUAGGUGGUUAUGUGCAUCUAUGUGUUGUAUGGAUGUUUUGUGUGUUCCGGGUUGCUUUCAUAAAGUUUGGGUUAAAAAUUAUAAGCUACCACCAUUAAAAAAUGGUGGUUUCUGCCUCCUGCCGUCAUAGACCGCCGUCGAUCACCAUCGCCCGAGGUGGCAGUGGGUCAUGUCCGACCUAUUAAAACUCUAAUUAACCUAAAAAAUUAACCUUGGACCUAGUUGGUAUGUGUUUGGGUUGGAAACCCUAGUUAGGGUUUAGAAAACCCUAGAUUUGGAGACUUUAGUUGGGACUUGUCGAGACCCGUCUUUUGGACCGUUGGAUUUGAGUUAUGAAUUAUGCAUGACCACAUUAUAUGAUUGACCUAGUAGAGUGAUGGACUUGAUGGAUUAAGUCUUUAAUGGGUUAAGUGUUUUACUUAACCCUAAUCGUUAUUUUAUGUGAAAACCCUAAUUGUGUUUGGGCUCGAGUUGGGCCUUUUCUUUUAGGCUCAGGUGUUUGGGUUCUUGAUGGGCCAUCUGGGAGUAAGUGUAUGGACUAGGAUAUUUGAAUGGGCUUUAGGGUAAAGCCCAUGUAAGGGGUUUGGGACCAAUUUGGAAAAUUGGGCCAUAGUUGGGCCUUGGUUUAUUAUUUGGCUUUUAGGCGUGGGUUUGGGCCUUGGUCUUGGGCCAAUCUAGGUAAGGGGUAAAAUGGUUUGUGUACCCCAAGUGUGGAUUUAUGGUUAUGCAUUGGAACCCAAUUAUUAAUUGGGUGUCGUUUUGAUGUUGACAGUUCGGGGAUCUGUCAGCUAACAGCCAAAGUUUUAUCCACGGGACUUCAGCAGUGCGAGACGAGUCUCUUCACUGGGUUUAGUGGGUCGUAGACACCAAAUUUGGCCCAUGAUUUAUAUGUUAGGAUGCUAGAUGUCUGUGUGACUCUUGCAUGUGUUGUAGGAUGGUAUGCUUAUCGGGCAAGGCCCGAUACCAGGCGGGGCUUGAUAAGUAGAUUGUAUGCUAGUUAUUAGUAUCUGAUUUUAUGCUUACUAGGCGAAGCUUGAUGUCGGGCGGGGCCCGAUGACUGUAUGAUGUGCUAUAGUCUUUGUGAUUAUUGCAUGUGCUAGUAUGGUUAUAUGUCUAUAUGAUUAUAUGGUUAUAUGGUAAUGUGUGUAUCGGGUGAGGCUCGAUGACAGUCGAGGCCCGAUAACUUGAACAUAUGCUAGUGUUUAUGAUCAUUUUAUGUGUUAGCAUGAUUAUGUGAUAUUUUGUAUAUGUCUGGAGGGCGAGGCUCAGUGAUAGGCGAGGCCUGAGAAUAACAAAUCUGUAAUCUGAGCGCAGCACGAUGCCGAGCCAAACUCGAUGUCGGGGGAGGCCCGAGAUCGAGUGAGACUCGAGAUCGGGCAAGGCAUGAUGGAGGGCAGGGGCCCAAUAUGUGAUUUAUGUAUGCGUGGUAUGUGAUAUCUUGGGGAACUCACUAAGCUUUGUUGUUACGGUUUUAGUUUAUGUUCAGGUACUCCGAUUUCCAAAUGGAAGAGCUCGAGAUGGUUGCAGGGCACACACCACAUGUUUCAUCAAUUUGUGAUUUACUCUGAAUCGUUGAUGUUUUACUAAAGCUUUGAUAAUCAUGGUUUAUGAAAUUGAUAUGUAUUAACGAUUUAUUAAUUUAGAAACAAAAUUUUAUGUCAUUAUUUUUGGGACGUUACAGGUUGGUAUCAGAGCCUUGGUUUGAGGGAUUCGGGCACACUCUCGGGUGUGUCUAAACUCAAACUGAGGAUUUGGUAAAGUUUUUCAAAAAAGGAAUAUAUUUUGAAUGAGAUUUUUUUAAAAGAAGAAAUGGUGUGGUGCAUGUAAUCAACCGAGCUCAAGUAAGUUUUCCCAAAAUACCCAUAUAUGUUAUCUGUUAUGAUUUGAUUUAUGAAUCUUUGAAUCGCAUGCUAGUUAGGGCUAAGGAUCUACUUAGUUUCUGCAUGAUAGAAUACUUGGAGAGAUGCCUUGUUUGCCUAUUUUAUGAGCUUGUAGACUUGCAUGCCAGUGAUAGGUUUGCUUGUUAUGUGAUGUCUGGUAGCCUAGGAAGUAUGGGAUGCUAGAUUGGGUUCGAUUUGGAUGCGUGGACAGUCAGUAGCGGGAGUGGGAGCUCCUUAUAUGAGUUGUAGUAUGUGGGAUUGGAGUGUACUGCACGAAUGUUGUUUGCUUUGUGCUUUUUGGAACUCUUAAGUGAUGGGAGUUAACUACUAAGUGAAUAUGUCAAGUCACAUGUGACAAAGGUUGAAUAAUCUCAGAGUGAUGGAUUUGACCCUAUUGUCCAGCUCUUGUCUCAGUCCAACCGUUGUAAGGAUGAGUCUGUUACACAAAGUAUUAUCUAAGCUUUGUUGAAUGUGAUUAUAUUCAUGAGGUUGGUGAUUGGCAUUAUGAGGAGUUCUUCAACAAAUGAUGGCAGGGUGAGGUCGGGAACCUAGAAAAGCUUAGGGAUUGCUUCAAUGGGAUUUGUUGUGCCGUUUAGCGAGUGUUGGUGUAUAGAUUUGAGAAGGUGACUUAGAGGAUCCGAGAGGAUUCUUGAGGAAAGUAUGGAUAGGUGUGGAAGGUAGUGUUGGGCCUGUACUACUAAAAGCACAGGAUCCAUACUUGAAUCGGGGAGAGUCUUGGAGUAUCUAGGAAUCCUGUGGGAUAAAGAUUCUUGGGAAUAUUCAGAUCUUUUGCAUGUUGUUUUCUUUUUAGUGUUGAGCACUCAGAAAUGGGGAUUCAGAUUCUGAUUUCGGUUCAGGAGUAGAUACUGAGUCGAUUGAUGCGCGAAUGUGGGAGUUUAUCUCAUCGGAGGUUACCCGCGGUAUUUUGGAAUGGACCCCGGUGGUCUUUGGUUCGAUCAAGAUAGGGAAUUUGGAUGUAACAUCCAUAAAAUUCAUAAAAAUUUAAAACUUUUUCGAACAUCCAAAAACCAUUAUUUAUUACAAAAUGUUUUCAAAAUAGUUUCAUAUAAGAGGAUCCCAUAAAUCAAAUCAUAAAAAUGCAAGGAGGUGCACGAUCACGCCUUCGCCUUCACGCGAUCAUUCGAAGUACCUAAAACAAAAUCCAAAAGUGUAAGGCCGAAGCUUAGUGAGUUCCCCCAAAAUACCAAUGCCAUACAAACCAUAACCAUAUCAUAGCAAACCUCAUGCAUAUAGAGUAUGCAGUAUGACUGGACCGCCCUCAACGGGCCUUCAGUCUAUUUGGCCCACUCUCAGAACCUUCAGCAUGUCUGGUCCACCCUACCGGGCCUUCAGCCUGUCUAGACCGUUCUCUGGGCCUUCGGCCUGACUGAUAUGCCCCAUUUGUCCUGCGGUCUAUCCGGGCCGACCUGGGUAUGUUAGCCUACAACACAAAGCAGGUCCGCCUCAAUCCACCCCCAAGCAUACAAUCAACACAUAGAUAACAAUGCUAGCAUGUACAAACAAUCAAACCGAUUUAACAGAUCACUAAUCAUAACAUAAUCCGAUAUACCGGGAUACCGACCUAACAGGUCACUAAGCAUAUCAUCAUGCAAUAACCAUGAUAACAAUCCAAAAAGAAGGGCCGACAUUGGUGCCUUCGACCCUGUCAGUAUAGUGAGGAAAACUCACCUCAUAAUGUCGAUCGGAACUGAAAUAUCAAACUCCCGAAACACGGAUCCAAACACCGACACCUAUAACCACCAUUGAUCCAAUUCCAUAAAUUCCCAAAUUACCAAAAUACCCUUAAAAGUCAAACUGGUCAACCCUUGGUCAAAUUCAAAGUCAACAGUCAAGGUCAACAGUUAAUGUUGACUCAACUCAUCGAGUGCAGUUUACAGACUCGUCGAGUUCCUUCAGAACUCAGAACGUCGCAAAAACUCUAGUCAACUCGCUGAGUUACCAAGUAACUCGUCGAGUCCAUGCAUUAUCCAGAAUAUCGGGAAAAACCCUAACCAACUUGUCGAGUCAUCUCAUUAACUCGCUGAGUUCAUGUAGAAUCCAGAAAGCGGGAAACCCUUAUCCAACUCGUCGAGUUGGCUAUGCAACUCGUCGAGUUCCUUCUGCCCUUUUCUCAUUUAGACGCUUUUAAGCGAAACCAAGGCUCCAAACUGUAGAUCUAGGCUCCUAGGGAGUAGUUAUCAUGUAAAGUUGCUAACUUUACGUGCAUGCAAGGCUUCAAGAAGCUAAAACACUCAAAAAUAGCCUUAGGAAGAGGUUUAGGUCAUGGAAAAGGGCUAGGGCUAGGGCUAGAGAAAGUCGAGAACUUUAUGUUCACGAGGGCCUAAAGGAGUCUAGAUCUGAGACCACGUUCUCAUGACAAGUUCAAACCCUAGAAUGACCCCCUUUUGCACCAAAAAUGCCCAUAUACUAACAUAAAAAGAGAUCUAAGAAAUGGAAAGCCAAGGUAAAGACUUUUUACCUUCAACUGGAUGCCAACACGAUGUAGAUACUGGAUCUACAAGCUUCUUCUCGUUCCAAGCCUCUAAAUCUUCAAGCCUCUUCAAGAAAUGCACCAAACACACACUUCUAGCCUCACACACAUUCAAAAUAGGGUUAGAUCGAUUAGGGUUUGCUUCUAGCCACGAAAAGUGGCAAGGGUGGCUAAGGGAAAGGACUUAAGGUCCUUUAAAUAGGGUGCAAACCCUAAAAAUCAGGGUUUUCAUGCACAACCUCUACUCGCCGAGUUGGGGUCCUCCAACUCGUUGAGUAGGUUCCAUAAACCACGCAGCCGGAUCAGUUUCUACAUGAUGAGUUGGCGCAGCCAAAUCGUCGAGUAGGUCUAUGAUUAUGAAUAUAAAGCUUUAAAAUUUAUACAUGGGAGUCGGGGUGUUACAUUGGAGUUCUUGGAUGGUUGGGGUAACUCAGGAGGAGGAGGUCAGGAUUCCUUCAGAUGUUUUGCGGGUAUGUAAUAUCUGCUUCUUUAAAGUGGAUAUCGAGAAUUUGUAUUACUUUGGAGUUUUGAUUGGGUUUGAACAAGUUAUAUUUCGGGUCGGUUCUCUGCUAUUGUCUGGGUCAUCAAGGAUUGUUAUAUGCCAUUCUGCAUACUAAGAAGUCUUCGAUGAGUCUUCAGAUGGUUGUAUUUCGUGGAGUAGGUUCUGCAUGUUCCAUUGUUGUUCUGGGUAUUUGUCGGGAUUAGUUCAGGAGUAUUGCUUGGAGGAUCUUUGGUUAGGGUUAGCGUGAUAAUUCUUCAGCGAAGUCAGGGUUCAGUGGUUCUAUCAUCUGUUCGGGUAUGAUCGGCAGUUGCCUAUGGAAGAACUUUGGAGUCCAAGGCACUACCGUUGCUAGGAAAGGAACGGUAGUAGGAAGAUGGUGGUGUCAGUUGCAUGAAUUGUUUGAUCAUUGGAUGUGUCAAGGGACUUGUAUUUUCGCAUGGAAUGAAGUUGGUUAGAGUUCAAUGAUUCCUUAAGGAUGGAAAUUAGAAUGGAGGUUCGUCAGUGCAUGGAAAGGGUUAUGGUUCUUAGUCGCUGACAUAAGAACUCAAGGAAUUGGUAUAGUAUCAUGGGAGGUGAUUUGGAUCAUUAGACUAGUUAAGGCCUCAAGAAUAUUCUUCCGGACUCUAGGAGUUGGGCAAUCAUUGAGAUUGGCUAGUAAUGGAACGCUAGUUUUGGUAAGCGCAGGUCAUAGGCGGUUCAUGCUAUAUGAAGUUCAAGGGGUUGGGAAUCCAUCAGACUUAUGGGAUGAAAGAGUUUCGUUGAAUCCAAGUGCGGGAGAAUCAAUAAGAAUUUCCGGUAGUUGGAUCGGGUGUGGAACUAGGGCAAGUUUUGAUGGGUUUUGAGCACUACAACAUUCUUAUGGUGUACAUGCAACCUUAAUGCUUUGGAUCUAGGUUUUUCUCAUGUUAUACAUGCAAAGCAUAAACCCUAAUCUAGCAUACAAUUUUCGAACUUGAUAACUUAAACAUAGUUAGAAGAAUACCUUUUCUUGUAGCUUGUUUAUCUUGACCUUCAAGAGCUUAGUGCCUCAAUUGUUGCACCUCUAAUGAAAUCACAAACACCACUAGCAAUUGGAUGAACACAAGAGAGAUGAUGAAGGCUUAGUAUUUUCAGCUAGGGUUUCUUCUAGAGAUCAAGUGGUCGAGAACCCUAUGCCAAGGGGCCUUUAUAUAGUUGUGCUGCUAAGGUUUAAGACUGAAACCCUAAUUCUCUGCUUAGGCCUUAAGCAAUCUAUGGAAACCAUCUAGAAGGCCCUUUGGACGAAUUCUUCUAUGGUAUUCCCAUAGAAUUCGUCCACCCCUUCUAUUAGGAGUCCACAACCCAACUUACAACUAACAGUAAAUUGCAAUAUCAGUCCCCAUACAUUUAAAAGUCUCAAUUGAUAUAUUAUUCUUAUAAUAUAUUAAUAAAUCAUUUAUCAACCUCUUUCUUAUAAUUCAUCCUGUCAAGUUGCUAUGGUGAAUGAAACCCAAAAGGACCAUGCUACUAUCGGGUCAAGUAUAUACCAAUUAUAGUUAUGGGCUUAGACACCUAAUCCAACAAGUUUCGCAUCCAGGUCAAGAAUAGAGACAACCCAAGUGGUCGUUUAGACUGAAUUUAUGUAAGUGGGAGUUCAGGGAACUCCUAGUAGCCAGUCGACAUCUUCUUGUUAUGCAUAACAAGUUUGUGGAUGGAUUCAGAUCGAGGGACGUGUUAGAACCUCGCUGCCUGUUAUUUUAUGAUGAGGGUUUCAAAAUUCAAAGUAUAACCCGAACACCUAGUUGGAUAUGGGAUGUCAACUCAGGUGCAUGGGGUUGUGAUGGUUAUAGUGUGGUAAGGCCAUGGGGUGGUAACCAUGGUUGAUUUGAAGUGUUGUAAGACUGCGAUAGGAUCGUAGCAUUCAUCAGUCGAGGUAGACCCUCAUUAGAGGUGGUCAUGAGCAUAAAGGAGGAAUCAAUUCGUGCCUUGGGCACAUCGUCCAGGUUUGACAAGGGGUAUUUCUCUGUUUUGGGUUGAGGACCAUUGGGGCCUAUAGCGGAGUCGGGCCUGUAUAGCUCUUGGCGGGUGGGAUCCGUGAGCGAGGCAGCUCCGUGGUAUAGUUGGGUGGGACCCGUGGGCGAGGCUUGUAUGAUUUUGGCAAUACAGGUUGGACCUGGUUGAGACCCUUGGGUCAAGGAUUUGGAUCUUGAGUCACAUGAUCAGGUGGGUGGUUAGUAUGUGACAUAGAGAGGUUUAUAGGUUGGAUAACCUUGUUAUUUGGACUCUUGGGAACCUUAUGGUUGGACCAGGUGCGAGACUGAUAGUCUCAAUGUUGGUUUGGGAACCUUUAUACCCCAGUCUAGCAAGGGUUGGUGUUAUCAGAAGGUCUUGGGUGUAAUGCAAGUGUAAAUCUGUGGAUCUUGGGUUAUGAGACGAGUAGCGGGUUGGUUUCUGGGUAAGAUUUUGAGUCGGGUACCACGAAUGUUUUGUGUAGAAUAUCUAUUUCCGUGGGUCAAAGAUCAGGGUAUCUAUAUUCUGAAGGCAACAAUCGAAGGGUACAAGGGUAACGAAGGAAUUCAGUCUUGAUGAUAGGUCAGCUUUGGUGUUUGUGCUUUGGAUUGGUUCUAUUUGUGAAGGGCAUCAAGAUAAGUCGAGGCGGUAUUUUUGAUUUGGAACUCGAGUGUGGAGUAGCUUGUUAUUCUGAGGGAUGUUAGGUCACUACAGAUGGUUUAGAUAAUCUCAGAGUAAAUGACUUGAUCCUAUUGCGCAACUCUCAUCCGAGUCUACCCGUUGUAGGGAUGAGUCUCAUACUCGAAGGAUUAUCUAAGCCUUGGUCCAGUAUAAGUGUUCUGCAGGGAUAAUUGGUCGGUGAUUCUAUUUCUAAUGGGAAUAUCAAAUAUCAGGAGUUGAGUAGUCAGUUGGGAAAUUAAUGGGAUGGUUUCAACAUUGGUUCAAUAUGGGCGGUCUGUAAUGGAGUCAGACCUUCUCGGAAUUUUAUAUAUAAGGAUUGAGCAGUUGUGGUUUAUUAACAAGGGAUUAUUGUCGGAUGGUGAAGGGAAUUCGUUCAUCUACGGGUUGGAGAGCCCUGUGAGAGUUGGUUUCGGUUGCCUUGAGAAGCUUGUGGUAUGGUAUGCUCGGGACUGUGGUUGUGUUACUCAGGCUGUUUGGCGUGUCGGGGAUGGUAAGGAACGAUUUCGAGGAAAAAAAUCUAAUUUAAGUGGGGGAGAGUUGUAACACAUCGUUUCGAAAAUAAACCCAAAAAUCCGAGAAUGUAUUUUAAGUAUUAUUUUAUUCCGAUAAAUAAAAUAUAAAUAAAAGAGUUUUAGUGAAGAAGGGUGUAAUUGGCAUUAUAAAUUGUUUUGGAGGUCUAAAGGGUGCUUUCAGGGUUUGUGGUGUAAAGAAUAAUUGAGCAAUGGCUAAAGAAAAAUCAUUUGGACUUGUUUUGUAGCUUUUGUGCUUAAACUGAAAAGAUUUUGGAAGCUGGGGGCUGAAUGGUAAUUUAUGGAUUUAAGUUGAAAAUAAUUCGGAGAGGAGGGACCCUAAGCAUAUUUUUGGCACUUGAGUUUGAUUUGGAGACGGGGCUUAAACCCAUCCCCUUCCUUUCUUUCUUCCCACUCUACAUUUAAACCCUAACCCUAGGAAAGUUUCCAACCGCCACCCUUAUCUCCCCUCACCUCCAGCUGGCGCCGCCACCCCCUCUGUUGAAGUCGCGAACCACCAACCAUUGCCACCGCGGUUGCUACCGACGAAGCCAAGGACUGCUGAAGGCCGAUGUCGUGGCUGUGUUGCUGCCGUUCUCGGAUGCACACCCUACCUUCUUCUGUUUCGCCGUCGGUCACGCCACCAGUACUGCCAAGGGAAAACGUCAUCGCCGCUAAAGCCGACCGUUAGCACCGCUGUUGCCACUGUUUUGUGUCACUGCCCGUUCGUCACUCUUCCGGCCGUCGUCCUUCUCCAGGUAUGAAGCACAGUUUCAUGGUGGGAGUUUUAGUGUGUGUGUUCGUUAGCCAGAAAUUGAAAGGGAACCACCAUGGUGGUUGCCACCGCCUACUACCGUUCUACCACCACCAGCCGCCACAUUGGGUGGAUAUGUGCGUAUAUGUGUUGUAUGGAUGUUUUGAGUGUUCCGGGUUGCUUUGAUAAAGUUUGGGUUAAAAAUUAUAAUCUACCACCAUUAAAAAGUGGUGGCUGCCGCCUCCUGCCGUCAUGGACCGUCGUCGACCACCACCGCCCGAGGUGGCAGUGGGUGGUGCCCGACCUAUUAAAACUCUAAUUAACCUAAAAACUUAACCUUGGAUCUAGUUGGCAUGUGUUUGGGUUGGAAACCCUAGAUUUAGAGACUUUAGUUGGGACUUGCCACCCACGUUUUGGACCGUUGGAUUUGAGUUAUGAAUUAUACCCGACUAUAUUGUAUGAUUGACCUAGUAGAGUGAUGGAGUUGAUGGAUUAAAUCCUCAAUGGGUUAAGUGUUUUUACUUAACCCUAAUUGUCAUUUUAUGUGAAAACCCUAAUUGUGUUUGGGCUUGAGUUGAGCAUUUUUUUUUGGGCUCAGGUGUUUGGGUUCUUGAUGGGCCAUCUGGGAACAUGUAUAUGGACUAGGAUAUUUGAAUGGGCGUUAGGGUAAGGUCCAUGUAAUGGGUUUGGGUCCAAUUUAGAAAAUUGGGCCAUAGUUGGGCUUUGGUUGUUUAUUUGACUUUUAGGCCUUCAGAGUGUGGGUUUGGGCCUUGGUAUUAGGCCAAGCUAGGUUAGGGGUAAAGUGGUAUAUGUAACCCAAUUUUGGAUUUAUGGUUAUGCAUUGGAACUCAAUUAUUAAUUAGGUGUUGUUUUGAUGUUGACAGUUCGGGGAUCUGUCAGCCAGCAGCUAGAGUUUUAUCCGUGGGACUUCAGCAGUGCGAGGUGAGUCUCCUCACUGGGUUUAGUGGGUCGAAGGCACUAAAGCUGGCCCAUGAUUAAUAUGUUAGGAUGCUAGAUGUAUGUGUGACUCUUUCAUGUGUUCUAGGAUGGUAUGCUUAUCGGGCGAGUCCCGAUACUAGGCGGGGCUUGAUGAGUAGAUUGUAUGCUAACUAUUAAUAUCUGAUUUUAUGCUUAUCAAGCAAGCCAGAUGCCGGGUGGGGCACGAUGACUGUAUGGUGUGCUAUAGUCUUUGUGAUUAUUGCAUGUGCUAGUAUGGUUAUAUGUCUAUGUGAUUAUAUGGUUAUAUGGUAAUGUGUGUAUCGGGUGAGGCUUGAUGACAGGCGAGGCCCGAUGACUGGAACAUAUGCUAUUGUUUAUGAUCAUUUUAUGUGUUAGCAUGAUUAUGUGAUAUUUUGUAUGUGUCUGGGGGGCGAGGCCAAGUGACAGGCGAGGCCUGAGAAUAACAUAUCUAUAAUCUGAGCAGGGCUCAAUGCCGAGCCAAGCUCGAUGUCGGGGGAGGCACGAGGCCGAGUGAGACUCGAGACCGGGCGAUCUGUGAUUUACUUUGAUUCAUUGAUGUUUUACUAAAGCUUUGAUAAUUAUGGUUUAUGAAAUUGAUAUGUAUUAACGAUUUAUUAAUUUAGAAACGAAAUUUUAUGUCAUUAUUUUUGGGACAUUACAACGCUGGGCGUACUUUUCAGUACGUUGCACGUAAUGGGUUUGCGUCCCGUAAGUUGGUUGUGAAGUGUAUGUGGGGCGUACUUUGGUGGUACGCAGGGUGUACCCGCUAGUUGGGCUUUUGGGCCUUUGGACUAGUUUGGGGUGAGUCUGCUCAUUCUGUUUGGCGGAUCGAAGGAAUCAACGUCGGCCCAUAGAUUAUUUUUACAAGAAUGUUAGCUGUUUGUGUGACUCUUGCAUGUAUUUAAUGUGUUUCUAUGUAUGUCGGGGGAGGCCCGAUGCCAGGUGGAGCCUGAUGAGUGUGUUGGGCGGGGCUCAUCGCAUGUUACCGACAGAUCUGUACUGGGCGGGGGCCGAUGGAGGUCGGGCUGGGCCCGAUGAAUAACGGGCGAGGCCCAAUGCCGGACGGGGCCCCAAUGGAUGUAUGUUUGUAUGGUAUGUGUUAUUUUAGGGAACUCACUAAGAUUCGUGCUUACAAUUUUCACUUUACAUAUCAACUACUUUCAGAUCGAAGGGGAAGAGCUCGAGAUGAUCGCAUCGCACACACCAUGACUUUCUGCUUUACCGACUUUGACGUAUUUGUAUAAUUAUGGAUACCUUAUGAUUUUCUUAUGGUUUUGAUAAACACAUUUGGUUGAUAUUUUAUUUAAUUUAAAAACAAAAAAAAUCGGUUCUGAAUUUUGGGGAUGUUACAAGUGGGUAGCAGAGCCUUGGUUUGAGGGAUUUGAUCAUACUCUCAGGUGUGUCUGAACUCAAACUGAGGGUUUGGUAGAUUUUUCAUAAAAAGAAAUGUUUUAUAAAAAGAUUUUUCUAAUAGAAGAAAGGGGUGUGGUGCAUGCAAUCGACCAGCUCAAGUAAGUUUUCCUAAGGUACCCAUACAUGAUUCGUGAUAUGCUUUGAAUUGUGAAUCUGUGAAUCGCAUGGUAGAUUAGGGCUAUGGAUCUGCUCAGGAUUGCAUCAUAUAAUGCUAGGAGAGAUUCAUUUAUAUGUCUACUGUAUGAGCUUGUAGACUUGCAUGCUAAUACCUGAGCAGUCAAUGAUAGGAUGGCUUGUUUAGGUUAUGCCUUUCUUCCGAUUACUUAAUACUCGAAUGCUUCUUGGUUUGUGCUUUUAGGAGUUCCCAUUAACAUUAACUAACUAGUAAUCGAUUACUCUAAGUUACAUAUUACUGAGAUAAGAUAAUUUUAAAAGGCUAGGUUUAACCCUAUUGCGCAACUAUUGUCUGAGUCCAACCAUUGUAGUGUGAGACCUUUCAUUGCAAUCAAAGGGGACAUUAGAAGGCCAACUGCUUGAGUUUAGCAGUGGGAGGACCAGUGGGAGGACCCGCUCUGGUGACCUUGCGGAUUACAGAUGGCCGUCAGGGCAAGGCAGAGGUGCCUGUUGUGAGGAGCAGGGCAUUCCAACUGACAGCCGGGGAGGCUCGUGCAACACCAGAUGUGGUGAUGGGUAUGUAUCUUGUCUUUGUCUCUUUAUUCAUUUAUUUUGAUUUUUCCUACUUAUAUCUGUGAUUUGUUUAUAGGGUCGUUCCUUAUGAACGAUAUCUCGGCUUUGGUUUUGAUUGAUUUGGGGGCUACCCGAUCCAUUGUAUCUCUUGCGCUCAACAAAAUAUUUGUUGAUGCUCUGGGGGAGCUGGAGUAUCCAUUUGAGUUCGAGAUUGAUGAUGAUCGUCCUGUGCGAGUAUCGAGGGUUCAUUGGGGAUGUAUGCUGGACUUGUUUAGUGAGCGGUAUUCGAUUAACUUGGUUCCCAUUACCCUGCGUGAGAGCAAGGUUAUUGUAGGGAUGGAUUGGUUGAGCCCCAAUAAGGAAAUGAUUGAUUGCGAGCAUUAGUUAGUCCAUAUUCGGACCCUAAGCGGGGGAGAUUUAGUGACUCAAGGAGAGGGUGUUCAACAUGGGUCGACUCUCUGUUCAACAGUUAGGGCCAUGUGUUACCUUCAACAAGGUUGUUCUAGAUUUGUUGUUUAUGUGAUGGAUACCAGUGAGAAGGGUAAGAUGACUAUGGACGAUGUAUCGAUUGUCCAGGAAUACUUGGAUGUGUUCCUUGAGGAGUUGUCGGGUGUGCCUCCAGAGAGGCAUGUGGAGUUUCGGAUUGACUUGGUUCCUGGUGCGGCCCGGAUAGCCAAAGCACCUUAUCGGUUAGCACCCCAGGGAUGCAUGAAUUUUCUACCCAACUACAAGAGCUAUUAGACAAGGGAUUUAUUCAGCCAAGCAUUUCACCAUGGGGAGUUCCGAUCUUGUUUGUGAAGAAGAAGGACAGGUCGCAUCGGAUGUGUAUCGACAACUGGGAGCUGAAUAAGCUAACAAUGAAGAACUGUUAUCCACUCCCGAGGAUUGACGAUUUAUUUGACUAGCUUUAGGGUGCAUAUUGGUUCUCAAAGAUUGAUAUGCGUUUAGGUUAUCAUCAGAUGAGGGUCAGAGAUGAGGAUAUGUAUAAGAUGGCCUUCCAGACUCAUUAUGGUCAUUACGUGUUCGUGGUGAUGCUCUCCGGGCUCACAAAUGCUCCAGCCGCAUUCAAGGAUCUCAUGAAUCUCGUAUGCAUGCCUACGUUGGAUGGGUCUGUGAUUGUGUUUAUUGACCACAUCCUAGUCUAUUCCAAGACCCAUGAGCAGUACGAGGAACAUCUAAGAAAGGUAUUGGAGAAUCUGAGGAGGGAAAGGUUGUAUGUGAAGUUCUCCAAGUGCGAGUUUUGGUUGCGCAAGGUGCAGUCUGGGACACCUCGUCAAGCAGUUAUGAGGUGGGAAGUUCUGAGGUCUCCACAUGAGAUUCAGAGUUUCCUAAGAUUAGCAGGUUACGAUCGUAUAUUCAUUUAGGAUUUAUCCAAGAUAGCAGUUCGUUGGCCUGAUUGAUGUAAGGAGUGUCACAUUUCAUUGGGGGCCUGAGCAACAGACAACUUUUGAGACUCUGAGGUAGAGAUUGUGUGAGACGCUGAUUCUGACCCUGCCGGAGGGUGUUGAGGACUUUCUGGUAUAUUGUGAUGAAUCAAUCACGGGGUUGGGUGCAAUUUUGAGGCUAUGGGGUGAUGUGAUCGCUUAAGCUUUGAGGAAACUAAAGCCUCAUAAGGAGAAUUAUCCUAUGUGUAAUUUGUAGUUGGGGGCUGUGGUUUUCGUCCUCAAGAUUUAGCGACAUUACCUUUAUGGGGUUUGUUGUACUAUUUGCAUGGACCAUAAGAGUCUAAGGUAUCUGAUGGAUCAACUGAAUCUGAACAUGAGGUAGCGUAGAUGGUUGGAUGUGGUGAAAAAUUAUGAUUGUGAGAUCCUUUAUCACCUGGGGAGGGCCAAAGUGGUGGCCGAUGCUCUUAGCCGCGAGGCAGUUGCUGCCUCGAUCAAGGAUUUGUUUCUAAGGUUGACAUUGAUUAACCAAAUUUUAGAGCAGAUUCGAGAGGCUUAGGUUGAGACUAUAAAGGAAGAGAACCGAAAGAAUGUGCACAUAGUAGGUCAGGUGGCUUCCUUUGAUUAUGAUACUUGGGGAUUAUUGACCCUUCAUCGGGGGAUGUGGGUUCUCUAUUAGGGUGGUGCGUGUCAGGUUCUAAUGGAGGAAGCGCACAAGUCAAGAUUCUCUAUUCAUCUCAUAGCGACAAAAAUGUAUUAAGAUCUACAUCCUGACUAUCAGCGACCUCAUGACAAGAUGGAGCCGUUGGAAGUCCCCGUUUGGAAAUGGGAAGAGAUUACAAUGGAUUUUAUCACCAAAUUGCCUAGAACGGCGCACAUAGUGGAUUCGAUAUGGAUCAUCGUGGAUCGAUUGACUAAGAGUGCGCAUUUUAUUCCGAUCGUGGAGAGUAUUUCGGCAGAGAAGCUGGCCGAUAUCUACAUUCGGGAGGUUGUGGCACGACAUGGGGUGCCGGUUUCUGUGGUCUCUGAUAGGGAUGUUCGGUUUACUUCCAGGUUCUAGAAGAGAUUUAACGAGGAGUUAGGUACUCAUUUGCAACUCAACAUGGUUUUCCACCCGCAGACUGAUGGUCAGAGUGAGUAGACUAUUCAGACAUUGGAGGAAAUGUUGCGGGCAUGUGUGCCGGAUUUUGGCGGUUGGGUUACGUAUCUUCCUUUGGCGGAAUUUUCGUACAACAACAGUUAUCACGCCAUCAUUUAUCAACCUCCUUUUUAGAUGCUCUACAAGAGGAAGUGUAGAACCCCGAUAUGUUGGGGUGAGGUUGGUCAACGGGUCAUGAGGAGUAUGGAAGUGGUACUCCAAAUGAUAGAAUUAAUUCAACAGGUCCGCGACAGACUUCAGACAUCACAAAGCCGACAGAAGAGCUACGCAUAUAGACUCCGGUUAGACUUAGAGUUUUAGGUUGGUUAUAUGGUACUCGUAAAGGUUUCACCUUAAAAUGGUGUCAUCCUAUUCAGGAGCGAUUUAAGUUAGGCCCCAAGUAUAUUAGUCCUUUCAGGGUGAUAGCCCGAGUGGGAUGGGUAUCGUAUCGAUUGGAUCUACAAAAGGAGCUCAGCCAGAUCUAUAGCGAUUUCCAUGUCUUUCGGCUGUGGAAAUGUUUGGUUGAUGAUUCCACAAUGGUCCCAUUGGAGGACAUUCAGGUGGAUGAUUGCCUGAAUUGUAUAGAGAGACCAGUGGUGAUCCUUGUUAGGAGGACGAAGAAUCUGCUUAACAAGGUUGUGGAUCUUGAGAAGGUGUAGUGGCAGCACCAAAAGGGUUCAAAAUGGAUGUGGGAGCCUAAGGAUGAGACAAGGGAGCAUUACCUAAAGUUAUUUACGGCAGCAGACUUCGAGGACGAAGUUUAAUUCAAGUGGGGGAGAAUUGUAAUACUUGGUUCCAAGGUAUUUCUUAUUUUGACCCGUGAUAUUAAAUUAGUUUUCAAAUUUGGUCCCAAGGGGUGAAAAGUGAAACUUUUAGGGAGGAGAGCAUACGUUGGGCGUACUUCUAGUAUUCGGGGCGUACAUUGUCCAGGGAUAAACCCUAAUUUUUAGGUUUUGGACCAUAUUUAAGCAUCAUUAUGGACUCAAGACCUUUCCCCUCGUCAACCUCAUUUCCUCCAAAGAUACCUCACGAAGCCCUAGCCAUCGUUGGUGUAUUCUUGAGCUAUUGGUUGAGUUUUGGUGUUCUUUUGGUGCAUUAGAAGAAGGAGAAUUUUGGUGUUAGUGCAUUGUUGGAUUUGGAGCCUCAAGAUCCAGGGAUAUCUUCUUCAUUUCAAGCUUUUGGAUGUAAAAAGUUCUUACCUUGAUGAUUCCUUUGUUGAGAUCUCAUUGUGGAUAGAUUUAGGAGCUUUUGGUCCCAUGACCUUGGUUCUUGGGAGUAUCGGCUACUCCAGAACCUUAGGGUGGCAUUUCCUUUUAGAUUUGAGGUCCUUGAAGUAUAAAAAUCGAAUCUUGGUGGUUUUAAUUCAACCAUGCAUGAGUUGUUGGCCUUUUUAAGGAGUUUUGGACCUAGGGUUUGGUAUUGGGUCCUUUUAAGCCAUGCAAGUUAGUAAAGUUGCCAACUACAUAUAUUAAAACGUUAUUUGGAAGUAGAUCUAAGGUUUGGAAAACAAAGUCUUAAGGGAUUAAGCCAUUUGAUUGAGACAAAGACCUCUGGCCAGUACACUGGGUGUACGUUUGAGUACAUUGCGCGUACUGGGUUUGAGUCCCGUAAGUUGGUCGUGAAGAGUACGAAGGGCGUAAUCUGGUGGUACACAUGGCGUACCUGCCAGCUGGUCUUUUGGGCCUUUGGACUAGUUUGGGCCAUUUUGGGGUUUUGGGCUAUCAUUAUUUAGGCCCAAUAAGGGAAGGGUAAAAUGGUCUUUUUGAUGGGUUUUAGGUAAAACAAAUAAACUAGAAUACAAUUCCUAAGUUCACAUGCAACCUGCUUUGGACCUAUGUUUUAGCUAUUGAACAUACAACUUUGAAUUGCAAAAUAAGAACCCUAGAGGAGAGAGGCUAUAAUCGAAAUUUACAACCUAGGGUUUAGAAAUUACAUACCUUUCAAUUGUUAUAGUAAACAAUUGAUAAUUCCUUUGAUCUUGAUCUUGAUCUUCUUGGAAGCUUAGCACCACAAGUGUAAUGCCUCUAAUGGAAUCACACCCAAACUAGCAAGAAGGAAAUUAGAAGAAGAGAGAGGGAGUAUGCAAUUUUCGGCCCUAAGGGUUUCUUCCAAAGAAAGAGUCACCAAAAUGUGAACCAGGAGGCUCCUUAUAUAGUUGAGGGAUCUAGGGUUUAGGAAAAACCCUAAUGCUCCUUGCUUAGGGCCUAAGCAAAGCCAAAGGCCUUAUCCAAGCCCCCUUGGACGAAAUCCUUAGGGUUUCCCCUAUAGAUUUCGUCCACCUCCUUCCAAGGAGGUUCUGGAGCCUUCCACUCAACUAUUAGAUAAUUGCAAACUAGUCCCUGCACUUUAUAAUUAAUUCUUUUAACCCCAAAAUUAAUUCUGAUUAAUUUCUGGCUAACAAUUAAUUAAACAAAAUGAUUUCUUAUUAAUAUAUUAAUCUUUUAACAUAUUAAUAAAUUCAUUUAUAUUAAUUUAUUAAUCUUAUAAUAAAUUAAUAUCUCUCCUUUCAUAAUUUCCUUGUCCGGUUGCUAGGUUUGAGGGCAACCCAAAAGGACUGUGCUGCUAUCAAUUCAAGUACAUACCAAUUAUAGUUAUGGGCUUAGACACCUAAUCCAACAGUCUCCCACUUGGAUAAGUCU